GCAGCAAAAAUAAUCAAUGCAAAAGCACGUUCCUGUGAUUUAAAAAAAUUAUAUUCGUGCACGCAAAGUUUCUGUUUUUCAGCAAAAUCAAAUCAACUAUCAUCGUAGGUUAUCCUAUAGGUUCUACUUGGCACAGACACUAACUAAAACAUAAAACCACAUACAAACAGAGGCUUUAUGGAUUAUUUAUUCCUAAACAUAAGCAAAAAACAAAAAACAAAAAUAAAAUUGGGUUGCCUCCCAACAAGCGCUAUCGUUUAACGCCCCUAGCUAGGCAUAAAUAUAUCAAUGAUGCUGACAAGAAAGACAAGAAUUGAAGCACAAAGAGAGCAUCAUAAAACACGUGAUAAACACAUCUAAGUCUAACAUACUUCCUAUGCAUAGGGAUCUUAUAGGCAAACAAAUUAUCAAGGCAAGCAAAAACUAACAUAUGCAAGGAGGCGGAAAGAAACAAUAGCAAUCUCAACAUAACGAGAGGUAAUUUAUUAUCAUGAAAAUUUCUACGACCAUAUUUUCCUCUCUCAUAAUAAUUACAUGUGGGAUCAUAAGAAAAUUCAACAAAAUAGCUAUCACAUAAAACAUUUUCAACACGAUCCACAUGCAUGCAAAGUGACACUCUUCUGAAAAAGUGGGAUUAACAUUAACUAAAGUCAUGACCUCUCCAAACCCACUUUUAUCAAAAAUUUCAUAAGAUUGAAUAUUCUCCAAAUAUGUGGGAUCUAGAUUUGACACUCUUCCAAACCCACUUUCAAUAUUAUUGCAAACAAUAUUAUCAAUCUCAUAUUCAUCAUGGGGAUUAAAUAAAUUUUCAAGAUCAUAAGAAGAAUCACCCCAAUCAUGAUCAUUGCAACAAGUAGUAGACAUAGCAAAACUAGCAUCCCCAAGCUUAGGAUUUUGCAUAUUAUUAGCACAAUUGACAUCAAGAGAAUUUAUAGUAAAAUCAUUUAAAUCAUGCUUUUCGUUGAGGGAGCUAUCAAGCAUGGGUGCAAUAGCAACGAUCACAUUUUUAACAUAAGGAACUAUAGCAAAUUCGUCUUCAUAAAUAUUGGCUUCAUGACCACAAGAAUAGCAAGCAUCAUGUUCAUCAAGGGAUAUUUCAAUCAAAUCAUCGGAAUCAUCAUUAUCUAUAGAUUCAUGCAUAUUAUUAUUUCCUUCCAAAGCAACGAUCAUUCUGUCAAUAAAUUCUUGAACAUAGACAUUAUGAGCAAGGUUUUCAUUGCAAUAAUUAAGUAUGACAGAAUUUUUAGAUUUCUUGAGAGUAAAAUCAUACUUUUCAAUCAAAUAAGUAACUUCAUGAGCACCCUUAAAAACGACAAAUUCUUCAAUUUGUUUGAUAUCAUAGUAACUAUAAACACCCUUUGCAUAAGAAGAUAAGAUUUCAUUAUCAUUGAACUCACAUAGGUAGGGAAGGUGUUUUUAGGGUUCUUAGAGCAACAAGUAAAAUCACACAUUUCACAAAGAUUCCAAGCAUAACAUAGCAAACUAUUUAUAUGAUAUCGAAAGAGUCUCCCUUUUUCAGAUAAACGGUGACGCACAAAAUGAGCAUGCUCAUCUAAAGAUUUCCCAUCAACUAGGCUAGUUGGGGUUUCAGCACGAGCGCAUAAGGAUCAAAGAUGAUCCAAGUAGAACACUUUAAGUGGAUCUAUAUCAAUCAACUUUUAGCAAGCAAAGAUGCAAGCGUAUAGAAGGCACAAGGAAACACAAACAAAGAUACAUACGGAAAGAAGGCGAACGAAAAGGAGAGGGCAAAUAAAACGACAAUGGUGAAGUGGGGGAGAGGAAAAUGAGAGGCAAAUAAUGUAAUGCGAGAGCUAGGGAUUGUGAUGGGUACUUUGUAUGGUUGACUUGCUUGCGUGAGCCUCCCCGACAACAGCGCCAAAAAUUCUUCUUUCUACCUCUUGAGAACUGCGUUGUAUUUCCCCGAAGAGGACAGGAUGAUGCAGCAAAGUAGCGUAAGUAUUUCCCUCAGUUUUUGAGAACCAAGGUAUCAAUCCAGUAGGAGACCACGCACAAGUCCCUCGUACCUACGCAAAAGAUAGCUACUCGCAACCAACGCGAUUAGGGGUUGUCAAUCCUUUCACGGUCACUUACGAGGGUGAGAUCUGAUAGAGAAGAUAAAUAAUAUUGUUGGUAUUUUUGAUAUAGAGAUGCAAAGUGAAAAGUAAAAGGCAAAGUAAAAACAAAGCAAGUAAUAAAGUGAUAGAGAUUGAUAUGAUGAGAAUAGACCCGGGGGCCAUAGGUUUCACUAGUGGCUUCUCUCAAGAGCAUAGAUAUUCUACGGUGGGUGAACAAAUUACUGUUGAGCAAUUGACAGAAUUGAGCAUAGUUAUGAGUAUAUCUAGGUAAUAUAGGCAUCACGUCCAAGACAAGUAGAUCGAAACGAUUCUGCAUCUACUACUAUUACUCCACUCAUCGACCGCUAUCCAGCAUGCAUCUAGAGUAUUAAGUUAAGAACAGAGUAACGCCUUAAGCAAGAUGACAUGAUGUAGAGGGAUAAAUUCAUGCAAUAUGAUAAAAACCCCAUCUUGUUAUCCUCGAUGGCAACAAUACAAUACGUGCCUUGAUGCCCCUUCUGUCACUGGGAAAGGACACCGCAAGAUUGAACCCAAAGCUAAGCACUUCUCCCAUUGCAAGAACUACCAAUCUAGUUGGCCAAACCAAAAGGAUAAUUUGAAGAGACUUGCAAAGAUAAAUCAAUCAUACAUAAAAGAAUUCAGAGAAGAUUCAAAUAUUAAUCAUAGAUAAGCUGGAUCAUAAACCCACAAUUCAUCGGUCUCAACAAACACACUGCAAAAAGAAGAUUACAUCGAAUAGAUCUCCACGAGAGAGGGGGAAAACAUUGUAUUGAGAUCCAAAAAGAGAGAAGAAGCCAUCUAGCUACUAGCUAUGGACCCGAAGGUCUGAAGUAAACUACUCACACUUCAUCGGAGGGGCUAUGGUGUUGAUGUAGAAGCCCUCCAUGGUGGAUGCCCGCUUCGGCGGAGCUCCGGAACAGGCCCCAAGAUGGGAUCUCGUGGAUAUAGAAAGUUGCGGCAGUGGAAUUAGGUUUUUGGCUCCGUAUUUGAUCUGUCGGGGGUACGUAGGUAUAUAUAGGAGGAAGGAGUACGUCGGUGGAGCAACAGGGGGCCCACGAGGUAGGGGGGCGCGCCCUGGGGGGGGGGGGGCGCCCCCACCCUCGUGACCGCCUCUGUUGUUCCUUGGAGCAGGGUCCAAGUCUCCUGGAUCACGUUCCGUGAGAAAAUCACGUUCCCGAAGGUUUCAUUCCAUUUGGACUCCGUUUGAUAUUCCGUUUCUUCGAAACACUAAAUAGGCAAAAAACAACAAUUCUGGGCCGGGCCUCCGGUUAAUAGGUUAGUCCCAAAAAUAAUAUAAAAGUGGAAAAUAAAGCCCAAUAUAGUCCAAAAUAGUAGAUAAAGUAGCAUGGAGCAAUAAAAAAUUAUAGAUACGUUGGAGACAUAUCAAGGAGCAAUCAAUAACAGUAACAAAAUCUAAUGCAAGCAUGAGAGAAUGGAAUGGGCGAUAUCGGGAUGAUCAAAGGGGGGAGGGCUUGCCUGGAAGCUCUGCUGAAAGGGAAGAAGUGUCAUCGUCGAUGUUGUCGAUCACAGGGGCAGCAUCAGCCUCGGGGUCUACCGGAGAGAAAGGGGGAAGAAACAGUAAAUACAGAGCAAACAAGGCAUCACAAGGCACAACAUGGCAAUACGCAGCGCUAGGAGAGUUCUAACGUAGUGUUGCACGAUACAGGUGAAGGGGGAAUUCAACCGGGAAGGUAUUCCCGGUUCCGGGCCUGUGUUAGACAGAUGACCGGAGGGUGAAAGUUCCAUGUUCAGAUAGUUAGAGGCAUCUAACGAGUAAACAGACCGCGUAUUCGGAUUCGUUGGAUUUUUCUGAGCAACUUCAAACUUCACUUGAAUUUGAAUUGACUGGAAUUUCAAAUGGGAUAUUGAACGAAGGUGAUUAAGCACUGUUUGGAAAAAAGAUUAGCUUAAUCAUAGAGGGUUACUGUAGCAUGACACCGGGGGUGUUACAACGGGGUGCGGUGCUUUGGGCGGGACGCGGCGAUGAUUCUUCAUGGGGAGGCGUCGAGGGCAUGGGCCUGUGUCGGAGUCGCGAAGGUUGCUCGAAGUUCGUCGUGCGGGGUUGUGUCGUCUCGCCGGAUCUAGUGCAGAAGUCUUGUUCGUGCGGGUUGGUGGCAUCGACUUUGUUCCGGCAUUGCUCUUAGCAUGAGCUGCAACAUAAAGGUUGACCAGUGGUGUCUCACGCCGCGCUGCAGUGCUUGGUGGCGGUCCGGCGGGGCUGUGCGGUAAAUGCCUGAUGUCUACUACACAUCUUGUUCUUGUAGACUCGUGUUGGGCCUCCAAGCAUAGAGUUUUGUAGGACAGUAGCAAAUUUUCCUCAAAUGGAUGACCUAAGGUUUAUCAAUUCGUGGGAGGCGUAGGAUGAAGAUGAUCUCUCUCAAACAACCCUGCAACCAAAUAAUAAAGAGUCUUUUGUGUCCCCAACAAACCAAAUACAAUGGUAAAUUGUAUAGGUGCGCUAGUUAGGCGAAGAGAUGGUGAUACAAGUGUAGUAAUGAUAGUAGAUAUUGAUUUUUGUAAUAGUAACAAUAAAAAACAGCAAGGUAAUGAGUAACAAAAGUGAGCACAAACGGUAUUGCAAUGCUUAGAAACAAGGCUCAUGGUUCGUACUUUCGCUAGCACAAUCUCUUAACAAUGCUAAUAUAAUUGGUUCAUAUAACCAUCCCUCAACGUGCGAUGAAAAAUCACUCCAAAGUUCUUAUCCGGAGAACAUAAGAUGAAAUUCUUUGCACGGUACGAAACCACCUCAAAGUUAUCCUUUCCGAUCGAUCUACCCAAGAGUUCGUACUAAAAUAACACCAAGUUAUCCUUUUCGAUCUAUCUAUCUAAGAGUUUGUUCUAAAAUAACAUCAUAUGAUACACAUCAACCAACUCUAAUGUCACCUAGAUACUCCAAUGUCACACGAGUAUCCAUGAGUUGAUUAUACGAUAUGCAUCAACCAAUUUCAGAUUCAUAAUACUCAAUCCAACACAAAGAACCCCAAAGGGUGCCCAAAGAUUUCUACCGGAGAAAUAAAGACGAGAACGUGCAUCAACCCCUAUGCAUAGAUUACCUUAAUGUCACUUCUGGAAUCCGUGAGUUGAGUGCCAAAACAUAUAUCAAGUGAAUCAGUAUGAUACCCCAUUGUUAUCACGGGUAUUCAUAGCAAGACAUACAUCAAGUGCUCUCAAAUCCAUAAAAGUAUUCAGUCCGAUAAUAACGAAAUCUCAAAAGGAAAACUAAAAUCAUCACAACAAGAUAGAUAGGGAGAAACACCAUAUGAUCCAACUAUAUUCACAAAGAUCGCGAUACAUCAAGAUCGUGCCAAAUUAAGAACACGAGAGAGAGAGAGAGAGAGAGAGAGAGAGAGAGAGAGAGAGAGAGAGAGAGAGAGAAAUCAAACACAUAGCUACUAGUACAACCCUUCAGCCCCGAUGGUGGACUACUCCCUCCUCAUCAAGGUGGCCGCCGGGAUGAUGAAGAUGGCCUCCGGUGAUGAUUUCCCCCUCCGGCAGGGUGCCGGAACAGGGUCCAGAUUGGUUUUUUGUGGCUACAAAGGCUUGCGGCGGCGGAACUGUAGCACCCAAGAUGCGAUUCUAUCCCAAUCACGUGAUGAAUUCAUGAUUGGGGCACAACCGCAUUUCGAACGCAUAGCAAGGUGGAUAUCAUUCCAACAUACCAUGUAAUGAAUAGGUAAGAAUACAAGAUAAAGGCUUACAGUGGCCACAAGCUACAACAUGAAUACAUGAAUACAUCAAUACAUAGCAAUCAUCAUACAGAAGAGUAGGAUCCGACUAUGGAUGAAAUCAAACGAAAAAUAAGAAUGACAUCCACCCAGCUAAUCCUAGGCUCCCGACCCGGAACCUAUCCCUUGAUCGAAGAAGAAGAAGCAGAAGAACUCCAAAACAAGAAAACAUCGCCCUCACGUCAGGUCAUCGCAUUACCUGUACAUGCAACUGUUGUUGUAGUAAUCUAUGAGCCACGAGGACUCAGCAAUCCCAUUACCAUGGGUAUCAGGACUAGCAAAACUUAAUGGGUAUGGAAUAGAUAAGUGGUGAGGUUGCAGCAAACACUAAGAAUUGUAUGGUGGCUAACUUCCGAGUACAGAAUAAGAAGAGAAACUACGCAUAAGGUCGCAAUCUAUUAAUGAUCAAGAAGUGAUCCUGAACUACUUACAAUUCAAUCGUAACCCCACCGUAUUCUCUUCCAGAACUCACUCGAAAAGAGACGGUCACGGUUACGCAUACGGUUGGUGUAUUUUAUUUCGGAUCUGGUGUCAAGUUAUCUACAACCGGAUAAUAUAAAUUUCCAAUUUGCCACAUAACUGUGGGCACGGCUCUCGAAAAGAUUAAACCCUGCAGGGAUGUCCCAACUUAGUACAUCACAAACUAUCACGAUCCGCGGAGGUAAAUCUCCAUCUCAGGACAACCCGAUCAAACUCGGAAUCCCGAUGCACAAGACAUUUCGACAAUGAUAAAACAAAACCAGCAAGACCUCUACGUGCCGACACCCUGAUAAUAUCCGCGCGUAUCUCGUCUUAGGCCACGACAGAUGAGCGAAGCUUACGAUCGCUGAGACCCAAGUUGCCAAGGGGGUGCCGCAAGGUGCUCUAUUUUGGACCAACACUCAUGAGGAGCACUGGCCUGGGGUUGUUGAUUAAUUAUCCUCGGGGUCCGGAAAGGCACUAUGCAAGUUUUAGUUGUUAUUAGGCAAAUGGUAAAACCGAAGUUGGGCCUUGAUGGAAGAGUUUUAUUCAAAACAAACUGUCAAGGGGGCCCGUAAACCCCGACCGUGUUAGGAACGCAAAAUCAAGGAACAUAACAUCGAUAUGAUGGAAACUAGGACGGCAAGAGUGAAACAAAACAGCAGGCAAAAGGCCGAGCCUUCCACCCUUUACCAAGUAUAUAGAUGCAUUAAUUAAAUAAAAGAUACUGUGAUAUCCCAUGAUAUCCAUGUCCCAACAUGGAACAAACUGCAACUGCAGAUGCAAUUAGCAACGCCAUAAGAGGGGCUGAGCAAAGCCAAACAACGGUUUGCUGGGAUGGUGGAAAAGGUUAGAGGCUGAUCAUGGCAUAUUGGGAGGCUUGACAAACAAGUGGUAGCUAGGUAGCGCAACAUAGCGAUAGAAUCGAGACAACUAGCAAAACAAACAUAGUAGUGGUAUCCGGGUAAUGAUCAUCUUGCCUGAAAUCCCGCUAGGAGGAAGACCGAAUCCAUGAAGUAGACGAAUAGUCGACCGAAUCCUCACAAUCACAACAUAACUGGAACUAUCGAGAAGAAGCAUAACCGGAAAAAAUCAAACAACAUGGUAAACAACCAUCACAUAAACAUGGCAUGAUGCACAAUCAAGUGUGAUGCAUGUCCGGUUUAAAGAGGCAUGGCAUGGCAAAGUGCAACAAACAAUACUACAAGUUAAGUGGAGCUCAAUAUGCAACAAGUUGCAUAUUGACGAAACACCACAUUCAGUUAUUUGGUCCACUCUCGUUUAUGUACCCAACAAUAUUAAAUGUUGUUAAACAUGGCAAGAGGGGAAGCAUAAUAAAACUACCUAUGUAGGCAAGUUUAAAUGAGGCCGGAACAACAAUUAACAAUUCUGGAAAAUCCCCAUAUGCAUAUUCCGAAUUUGCUACUGUUCUGCCCUAUACAUAAUUUUAGAGUUGCUAAACAUGCAAAGUAAUGCCACCAUGUUAAUCUAUGCAUUUUUCUACUCCAAUUACAUAUAUAGUUUAUUUAAUUCAGAGCUACGGUUAAUUAGUUAUGAAAUAAACCAUUUUAGCAUGCCAUUUGUGCAAAUUAAUGCAAACAAUAAUUUUAGGCAUUUUAAACAUGGAUGAAAGUUGCAUAGUAUGAAACUAGAUGAAAUUCUAAGCAUUUUACAUAUAUAUAUUUUUAAUUUCAAUGCACCAUUAUUUAGUUAUUAUAUGCAUGAGGAUGACAUUUUAAAGUUGACGCAAAUUGAAUGAAAAUGUUGUCAUAUGUGAUAUGGAACAUUUAUCGCCACGGCGGAAAGAAUUGGGUGCCACAGUGGUGAACACGAAAAUGGUGCCACGACAAAGUUCCGAUGAUCUGGCAACCCAUUGAGAUGCCGGUGGAGAAGAUCAAAUGUGAGAUGGUGAAGCAUGCAAGAGUGACGGGGAGUGAUUGUUGGGGAUCGUUGCAGAAACUAAAAAAAUUCUAUGCAUCACCAAGAUCAAUCUAUGGAGAAACUAGCAACGAAAGAGAGGGGAGUGCAUCUUCAUACCCAUGAAGAUCGCGACACGGAAGCAUUACAAGAACACGAAUGAAGGAGUCGUACUCGUAGUGAUUCAGAUCGCGGUGGAUUCCGAUCUAAGCACCGAACAAGGGCACCUCCGCGUUCAAGACACGUGCAGCCCAGUGACGUCUCCCGCACCUUGAUCUAGCAAGGAGGAGGGAGAGGUUGAGGAAGACGGCUCCACCAGCAGCACUACGGCGUGGUGGUGGUGGAGCAGCGGUUCUCCGGUAGGGCUUCGCCAAGCUCAAACGAAGGAGGAGAGGUGUUGGAGAGGGGGAGGGCUGCGCCUUGGAUGUGGUGCUGCUGCCCUCCCUCCUCCCCUCUAUUUAUAGGGUGAAGGGGGAAGGGGGUCGGCCCCUCUAGAUGAGAUCUAGAGGGGGGCGGCGGCCAAGGGGAGGGGGGUUGCCCCCCAAGCCACCCUAGGCGCAUGGGCCCUAGGGGGGUGGUGCCCAGCCCACCUAGGGGCUGGUUCCCUUCCACAUACAUCCCAUAGGGCCCUCCGGGGCAGGUGGACCCUCCCGGUAGACCCCCGGAACCCCUACGAUGGCCCCGGUACAAUACCGGCAAACCCCGAAUACUUCCGGUGACCAUAUGAUGACUUCCUAUAUAUAAAUCUUCAGCUCCGGACCAUUUUGGAACUCCUCAUGACGUCCGGGAUCUCAUCCGGGACUCCGAACAACAUUCGGCAACCAUGUACAAACCUUCCUUAUAACCCUAGUGUCAUUGAACCUUAAGUGUGUAGACCCUACGUGUUCGGGAAUCAUGCAGACAUGACCGAGAUAGCUCUCCGGCCAACAACCAACAGCAGGAUCUGGAUACCCAUGUUGGCUCCCACAUGUUCCACGAUGGUCUCAUCGGAUGAACCAUGAUGUCGAGUAUUCAAGUAAUCCCGUAUACAAUUCCCUUUGUCAAUUGGUACGUUACUUGCCCGAGAUUCGAUCGUCGGUAUCCCAAUACCUUGUUCAAUCUCGUUAUCGGCAAGUCACUUUACUUGUUCUGUAAUGCAUGAUCCUGUGACCAACUACUUAGUCACAUUGAUCUCAUUAUGAUGAUGCAUUACUGAGUGGGCCCAGAGAUACCUCUCCGUCAUACGGAGUGACAAAUCCCAGUCUCUAUUCGUGCCAACCCAACAGACACUUUCGGAGAUACCUGUAGUGCACCUUUAUAGCCACCCAGUUACGCUGUGACGUUUGGUACACCCAAAGCAUUCCUACGGUAUCCGGGAGUUGCACAAUCUCAUGGUCUAAGGAAAUGAUACUUGACAUUAGAAAAGCUUUAGCAGACGAACUACACGAUCUUGCGCUAUGCUUAGGAUUGGGUCUUGUCCAUCACAUCAUUCUCCUAAUGAUGUGAUCCCAUUAUCAAUGACAUCAAAUGUCCAUAGUCAGGAAACCAUGACCAUCUGUUGAUCAACGAGCUAGUCAACUAGGGGUUCACUAGGGACUUGUUGUGGUCUAUGUAUUCACACAUGUAUUAUGGUUUCCGGUUAAUACAAUUAUAGCAUGAACAAUAGACAAUUAUCAUGAACAAGGAAAUAUAAUAAUAACCAUUUUAUUAUUGCCUCUAGGGCAUAUUUCCAACAGUCUCCCACUUGCACUGGAGUCAAUAAUCUAGUUACAUUGUGAUGAAUCGAACACCCAUAGAGUCCUGGUGUUGAUCAUGUUUUGCUCGUGGAAGAGGUUUAGUCAACGGAUCUGCGACAUUCAGAUCCGUAUGCACUUUACAAAUAUCUAUGUCUCCAUCUUGAACAUUUUCAUGAAUGGAGUUGAAGCAACGCUUGAUGUGCCUGGUCUUCUUGUGAAACAUGGGCUCCUUGGCAAGGGCAAUAGCUCCAGUGUUGUCACAGAAGAGAGUCAUCGGGCCCGAUGCAUUGGGAAUAACUCCUAGGUCGGUAAUGAACUUCUUCAUCCAGAUUGCUUCAUGUGCUGCCUCCGAGGCUGCCAUGUAUUCCGCUUCACAUGUAGAUCCCGCCAUGAUGCUUUGCUUGCAACUGCACCAGCUUACUGCCCCACCAUUCAAAAUAUACACGUAUCCGGUUUGUGCCUUGGAGUCAUCUAGAUCUGUGUCGAAGCUAGCAUCGACGUAACCCUUUACGACAAGCUCUUCGUCACCUCCAUAAACGAGAAACAUAUCCCUAGUUCUUUUUAGGUACUUCAGGAUAUUCUUGACUGCUGUCCAGUGUUCCAUGCCGGGAUUACUUUGGUACCUCCCUACCAAACUUACGACAAGGUUUACAUCAGGUCUGGUACAUAGAAUGGCAUACAUAAUAGACCCUAUGGCUGAGGCAUAGGGGAUGACACUCAUCUUUUCUCUAUCUUCCGCUGUGGUCGGGCUUUGAGCCGAGCUCAGUUUCACACCUUGCAAUACAGGCAAGAACCCCUUCUUGGACUGAUCCAUAUUGAACUUCUUCAAUAUCUUAUCAAGGUAUGUGCUUUUGUGAAAGACCUAUGAGGCGUCUCGAUCUAUCUCUAUAGAUCUUGAUGCCUAAUAUGUAAGCAGCUUCUCCAAGAUCCUUCAUUGAAAAACACUUAUUCAAGUAGGCCUUUAUGCUUUCCAAAAGUUAUAUAUCAUUUCCCAUCAAUAGUAUGUCAUCCACAUAUAAUAUGAGAAAUGCUACAGAGCUCCCACUCACUUUCUUGUAAACGCGGGCUUCUCCAUAAGUCUGCAUAAACCCAAACGCUUUGAUCAUUUCAUCAAAGCGAAUGUUCCAAUUCCGAGAUGCUUGCACUAGCCCAUAGAUGGAGCGCUGGAGCUUGCAUACCUUGUUAACAUUCUUAGGAUCGACAAAACCUUCCAGCUGCAUCAUAUACAAUUCUUCCUUAAGGAAGCUGUUAAGGAAUGCCGUUUUGACGUCCAUUUACCAUAUAUCAUAAUCAUAGAAUGCGGCAAUUGCUAACAUGAUUCGGACGGACUUCAGCUUCGCUACGAGUGAGAAGGUCUCAUCGUAGUCAACCACUUGAACUUGUCGAUAACCCUUAGCGACAAGCCGAGCUUUAUAGAUGGUAACAUUACCAUCCGCGUCCGUCUUCUUCUUAAAGAUCCAUUUAUUUUCUAUCACUCGCCGAUCAUCGGGCAAGUCUGUCAAAGUCCAUACUUUGUUUUCAUACAUGGAUCCUAUCUCGGAUUGCAUGGUUCAAGCCAUUUGUUGGAAUUUUGGCCCGCCAUUGCUUCUUCAUAGUUCGAAGGUUCACCGUUGUCUAACAACAUGAUUUCCAGGACAGGGUUGCCAUACCAUUCUGGUGUGGAACGUGUCCUUGUGGACCUACGAAGUUCAGUAGCAACUUGAUCCGAAGUACCUUGAUCAUCAUCAUUAACUUCCUCUCUAGUUGGUGCAGGCACCACAGGAACAUCUUCCUGAGCUGCGCUACUUUCCGGUUCAAGAGGCAGUACUUCAUCAAGUUCUACUUUCCUCCCACUUACUUCUUUCAAGAGAAACUCUUUCUCCAGAAAGGACCCGUUCUUGGCAACAAAGAUCUUGCCUUCGGAUCUGAGGUAGAAGGUAUACCCAAUGGUUUCCUUAGGGUAUCCUAUGAAGACGCAUUUUUCCGACUUGGGUUCGAGCUUUUCAGGUUGAAGUUUCUUGACAUAAGCAUCGCAUCCCCAAACUUUUAGAAACGACUGCUUAGGUUUCCUCCCAAACCAUAAUUCAUACGGUGUCGUCUCAACGGAUUUAAACGGUGCCCUAUUUAAAGUGAAUGUGGCUGUCUCUAAAGCGUAUCCACAGAAUGAUAGCGGCAAAUCAGUAAGAGACAUCAUAGAUCGCACCAUAUCCAAUAGAGUGCGAUUACGAUGUUCGGACACACCAUUACGCUGAGGUGUUCUAGGCGGCGUGAGUUGUGAAACAAUUCCACAUUUCCUUACGUGCAUACCAAAUUCGUGACUCAAAUAUUCUCCCCCACAUCUGAUCAUAAGAACUUUAUUUUUCUAUCACGUUGAUUCUCUACCUCACUCUAAAAUUCCUUGAACUUUUCAAAGGUCUCAGACUUGGGUUUCAUCAAGUAGACAUACCCAUAUCUACUCAAGCCAUCAGUGAGGGUGAGAACAUAACGAUAGCCACCGCGAGCCUCAACGCUCAUUAGACCGCACACAUCAGUAUGUAUGAUUUCCAAUAAGUUGGUUGCUCGCUCCAUUGUUCCGGAGAACGGAGUCUUGGUCAUUUUUCCCAUGAGGCAUGGUUCGCAUGUGUCAAAUGAUUCGUAAUCAAGAGACUCCAAAAGUCCAUCUGCAUGGAGCUUCUUCAUGCGUUUGACACCAAUGUGACCAAGGCGGCAAUGCCACAAAUAUGUGGGACUAUCAUUAUCAACCUUACAUCUUUUGGUAUUCACACUAUGAAUAUGUGUAACAUCAUGUUCAAGAUUCAUUAAGAAUAAACCAUUGACCAACGGGCAUGACCAUAAAACAUAUCUCUCAUAUAAAUAGAAGAACCAUUAUUCUCGGAUUUAAAUGAGCAGCCAUCUCGCAUUAAACGAGAUCCAGAUACAAUGUUCAUGCUCAAAGCUGGCACUAAAUAACAAUUAUUGAGGUUUAAAACUAAUCCCGUAGGUAAAUGUAGAGGUAGCGUGCCUACAUCGAUCACAUUGACCUUGGAACCAUUCCCGACGCGCAUCGUCACCUCGUCCUUCGCCAGUCUCCGCUUAUUUCGCAACUCCUGUUUUGAGUUACAAAUAUGAGCAACCGCACCGGUAUCAAAUACCCAGGAGCUACUACGAGUACUGGUAAGGUACACACCAAUAACAUGUAUAUCACAUAUACCUUUGGUGUUGCCGGCCUUCUUGUCCGCUAAGUAGUUGGGGCAGUUCCACUUCCAGUGACCGUUUCCCUUGCAAUAAAAGCACUCAGUCCCAGGUUUGGUUCCAUGCUUUGGCUUCUUCCCGGCAACUGGCUUACCGGGCGCGGCAACUCCCUUGCCAUCCUUCUUGAAGUUCUUAUUACCCUUGCCUUUCUUGAAACUAGUGGUUUUAUUGACCAUCAACACUUGAUGUUCCUUUUUGAUCUCCACCUUCGCUGAUUUCAGCAUUGAAUAUACCUCAGGAAUGGUUUUCACCAUCCCCUGCAUAUUGAAAUUCAUCACAAAGCUCUUGUAGCUAGGUGGAAGCGACUGGAGGAUUCUGUCGAUGACCGCGUCAUCCGGGAGAUUAACUCCCAGCUGAGACAAGCGGUUGUGCAACCCAGACAUUUUGAGUAUGUGCUCGCUGACAGAACCAUUCUCCUCCAUCUUACAACUAUAGAACUUGUCAGAGACUUCAUAUCUCUCGACCCGGGCAUGAGCUUGGAAAACCAUUUUCAGCUCUUGGAACAUCUCAUAUGCUCUGUGUUGCUCAAAACGCUUUUGGAGCCCCGAUUCUAAGCUGUAAAGCAUGCCGCACUGAACCAGGGAGUAAUCAUCACUACGCGACUGCCAGGUGUUCAUAACGUCUUGAGUUGCUGGGAAAACAGGUGCUUCACCUAGCGGUGCAUCUAGGACAUAUGCUUUCUUGGCAGCUAUGAGGAUGAUCCUCCAGUUUCGGACCUAGUCCGUAUAGUUGCUACCAUCGUCUUUCAGCUUGGUUUUCUCUAGGAACGUGUUGAAGUUGAGGGCAAAAUUAGCGUGGGCCAUUUGAUCUACAAGACAUAUUGCAAAGAUUUUAGACUAAGUUCAUGAUAAUUAAGUUCAUCUAAUCAAAUUAUUUAAUGAAUUCCCACUCAGAUAGACAUCCCUCUAGUCAUCUAAGUGACACAUGAUCCGAGUCAACUAGGCCGCGUCCGAUCAUCACGUGAGACGGACUAGUCAUCAUCGGUGAACAUCUUCAUGUUGAUCGUAUCUACUAUACGACUCAUGUUCGACCUUUUGGUCUCUUGUGUUUCGAGGUCAUGUCUGUACAUGCUAGGCUCGUCAAGUCAACCUAAGUGUUUUGCAUGUGUAAAUCUGGCUUACACCCGUUGUAUGCGAACGUUAGGAUCUAUCACACCCGAUCAUCACGUGGUGCUUAGAAACAACAAACUUUCACAAUGGUGCAUAGUUAGGGGGAACACUUCCUUGAAAUUUUAUGAGGGUUCAUCUUAUUUAUGCUACCUCCGUUCUAAGCAAAUAAGAUGUAAAACAUGAUAAACAUCACAUGCAAUCAAAUAGUGACAUGAUAUGGCCAAUAUCAUUUUGCUCCUUUUGAUCUCCAUCUUCAGGGCGCCAUGAUCAUCGUCGUCACCGGCAUGACACCAUGAUCUCCAUCAUCGUGUCUUCAUGAAGUUGUCUCGCCAACUAUUACCUCUACUUCUAUGGCUAACGGUUUAGCAAUAAAGUAAAGUAAUUACAUGGCGUUAUUCAAUGACACGCAUGUCAUACAAUAAAUUAAGACAACUCCUAUGGCUCCUGCCGGUUGUCAUACUCAUCGACAUGCAAGUCGUGAUUCCUAUUACAAGAACCUGAUCAAUCUCAUACAUCACAUAUAUAUAUAUCAUUCAUCACAUCCUUUUGGCCAUAUCACAUCACACGGCAUAUGCUGCAAGAACAAGUUAGACAUCCUCUAAUUGUUGUUGCAAGUUUUUUUAUGUGGCUGCUAUAGGUUUCUAGCAAGAACGUUUCUUACCUACGCCCAAACCACAACAUGAUAUGCCAAUUGCUAUUUACCCUUCAUAAGGACCCUUUUCAUCAAAUCCAAUCCGACUAAAGUGGGAGAGACAGACACCCGCUAGCCACCUUAUGCAACUAGCGCAUGUCAGUCGGUGGAACCUAUCUCACGUGAGCGUAAGUGUAAGGUCGGCCCGGGCCGCUUCAUCCCAUGAUGCCGCUGAAUCAAGAUAAGACUAGUAGUGGCAAGUAAAUUGACAAAAUCGACGCCCACAACAACUUGUGUUCUACUCGUGCAUAGAAACUACGCAUAGACCUAGCUCAUGAUGCCACUGUUGGGGAUCGUUGCAGAAAUUAAAAAAAUUCUAUGCAUCACCAAGAUCAAUAUAUGGAGAAACUAGCAACAAGAGAGAGGGGAGUGCAUCUUCAUACCCUUGAAGAUCGCGACACAGAAGCAUUACAAGAACACAGAUGAAGGAGUUGUACUCAUAGUGAUUCAGAUCCCGGUGGAUUCCGAUCUAAGCGCGAACAACGGCACCUCCAUGUUCAACACACGUGCAGCCCGGUGACGUCUCCCGCACCUUGAUCCAGCAAGGAGGAGGGAGAGGUUGAGGAAGACAGCUCCAGCAGUAGCACGACGGCGUGGUGGUGGUGGAGCAGCGGUUCUCCGGCAGGGCUUCGCCAAGCUCAAAUGGAGGAGGAGAGGUGUUGGAGAGGGGGAGGGCUGCGCCUUGGAUGUGGUGCUGCUGCCCUCCCUCCUCCCCUCUAUUUAUAGGGUGAAGGGGGAAGGGGNNNNNNNNNNNNNNNNNNNNNNNNNNNNNNNNNNNNNNNNNNNNNNNNNNNNNNNNNNNNNNNNNNNNNNNNNNNNNNNNNNNNNNNNNNNNNNNNNNNNNNNNNNNNNNNNNNNNNNNNNNNNNNNNNNNNNNNNNNNNNNNNNNNNNNNNNNNNNNNNNNNNNNNNNNNNNNNNNNNNNNNNNNNNNNNNNNNNNNNNNNNNNNNNNNNNNNNNNNNNNNNCCCCCAAGCCAAGGGGCGCCCCUUUAGGGUCCCCCCCCAAACCCUAGACGCAUGGGCCCUAGGGGGGUGGCGCCGAGCCCACCUACGGGCUGGUUCCCUUCCACAUACAGCCCAUAGGGCCCUCCGGGGCAGGUGGACCCUCCUGGUGGACCCCCGAAACCCCUUCGGUGGCCCCGGUACAAUACCGGCAAACCCCGAAUACAUUCGGUGACCAUAUGAUGACUUCCCAUAUAUAAAUCUUCACCUCCGGACCAUUCUGGAACUCCUCGUGACGUCCGGGAUCUCAUCCGGGACUCCGAACAACAUUUGGUAACCAUGUACAUACCUUCCUUAUAACCCUAGCGUCAUCAAACCUUAAGUGUGUAGACCCUACGGGUCCGGGAAUCAUGCAGAAAUGACUGAGACAUCUCUCCGGCCAGUAACCAAUAACGGGAUCUUGAUACCCAUGUUGGCUCCCACAUGUUCUAUGAUGAUCUCAUCGGAUGAACCACGAUGUCAAGGAUUCAGGUAAUCCCGUAUACAAUUCCCUUUGUCAAUCGGUACGUUACUUGCCCAAGAUUCGAUCGUCGGUAUCCCAAUACCUCGUUCAAUCUCGUUAUCGGCAAGUCACUUUACUUGUUUCGUAAUGCAUGAUCCCGUGCCAACUACUUAGUCACUUGAGCUCAUUAUGAUGAUACAUUACCGAGUGGGCCCAGAGAUACCUCUCCGUCAUACAGAGUGACAAAUCCCAGUCUCGAUUUGUGCCAACCCAACAGACACUUUUGGAGGUACCUGUAGUGCACCUUUAUAGCCACCCAGUUACAUUGUGACGUUUGGUACACCCAAAUCAUUCCUACGGUAUCCAGGAGUUGCACAAUCUCAUGGUCUCAGGAAAUGAUACUUGACAUUAGAAAAGCUUUAGCAGACGAACUACACGAUUUUGUGCUAUGCUUAGGAUUCGGUCUUGUCCAUCACAUCAUUCUCCUAAUGAUGUGAUCCUGUUACCAUUGACAUCCAAUGUCCAUAGUCAGGAAACCAUGACCAUCUGUUGAUCAACGAGCUAGUCAACUAGAGGCUCACUAGGGACUUGUUGUGGUCUAUGUAUUCACACAUGUAUUAUGGUUUCCAGUUAAUACAAUUAUAGCAUGAACAAUAGACAAUUAUCAUGAACAAGGAAAUAUAAUAAUAACCAUUUUAUUAUUGCCUCUAGGGCAUAUUUCCAAUAGUGAUCUCGAUUACCGGGUGUCCCACGAGAGGUGGCAAGGGAAACGAGGAACGUGCAAGAGCCAAUUUGGCCACGAUGCAAAACAUUGGGUGCUUGUCAUACGACACACAUGCAUUCGUCCAUGGAUGGUCAUCUCGAUGGUUAUACCUUUGAAACGUGCGUUUUGGGAGCGGAUCAUGUUUUAUGGUAGUGGAAGUAGUGGUUCACGCUUUGGAGAGGAACUUGACGAAUCCGAGUUCUUUGGGGUAAUCGGGUACUCGUUCACGUUGUAGUCGUACAUGGUUCGUAGACAUCCAGUGCGGCCAGGAGGUACUUGGAGCAUCGUUAUGAAGGUCGUACACGGAUCCAGAAGAGGAACUUGGCGCCCAGGGGCUUCGCGGGUGAUACGUCUCCAACGUAUCUAUAAUUUAUGAAGCAUUCAUGCUAUUUUAUUAUCUGUUUUGAAUGUUUAUGGGCUUUAUUAUACACUUUUAUAUUAUUUUUGGGACUAACCUAUUAACCGAAGGACCAGCCCAUAUUGUUGUUUUCUUGCCUAUUUCAGUGUUUCGAAGAAAAGGAAUAUCAAACAGAGUCCAAACGGAAUGAAACCUUCGGGGGCGUUAUUUUUUGAACGGAAGCGGUCCAGGAGACUUGGAGUUGAAGUCAAGGAAGCUUCAAGGUGGCCACGAGGGUGGGGGGGCACGCCCCUGUCUCAUGGGCCCCUCGUGGCUCCCCCUACCGACUUCUUUCGCCUAUAUAUUCCCAUAUACCCUAAAAACAUCGAAGCAAACAAUAGAUCGGGAGUUCCGCCACCGCAAGCCUGUGUAGCCACCAAAAACCUCUCGGGAGCCCAUUCCGGCACCCCACUAGAGGGGGGGGGGAUCCCUCACCGGUGGCCAUCUUCAUCAUCCCGGCGCUCUCCAUGACGAGGAGGGAGUAGUUCACCCUCGGGGCUUAGGGUAUGUACCAGUAGCUAUGUGUUUGAUCUCUCUCUCUUGUGUUCUUGACUUCACACGAUCUUGAUGUAUCGCGAGCUUUGCUAUUAUAGUUGGAUCUUAUGAUGUUUCUCCCCCUCUAAUCUCUUGUAAUGGAUUGAGUUUUCCCUUUUAAGUUAUCUUAUCGGAUUGAGUCUUUAAGGAUUUGAGAACACUUGAUGUAUGUCUUGCCAUGCUUAUCUGUGGUGACAAUGGGAUAUCACGUGAUCCACUUGAUGUAUGUUUUGGUGAUCAACUUGCGGGUUCCGCCCAUGAACCUAUGCAUAGGGGUUGGCACACGUUUUUGUCUUGACUCUCCGGUAGAAACUUUGGGGCACUCUUUGAAGUACUUUGUGUUGGUUGAAUAGAUGAAUCUGAGAUUGUGUGAUGCAUAUCGUAUAAUCAUGCCCACGGAUACUUGAGGUGACAAGGGAGUAUCUAGGUGACAUUAGGGUUUUGGUUGAUUCUGUCUUAAGGUGUUUUUCUAGUAUUAACUCUAUGAUAGAUUUAAUGGAAAUAAUAGCUUCAUGUUAUUUUAUUACGGACUCUUGAAUAGAUAGAACAGAAAGGAUAACUUUGAGGUGGUUUCGUACCCUGCCAUAAUCUCUUUGUUUGUUCUCUGCUAUUAGUGACUUUGGAGUGACUCUUUGUUGCAUGUUGAGGGAUAGUUAUAUAAUCCAAGUAUGUUAUUAUUGUUUAGAGAACUUGCACUAGUGAUAGUAUGAACCUUAGGCCUUGUUUCCUACUAUUGCAGUACCGUUUACGCUCACUUUUAUCAUUAGUUACCUUGCUGUUAUUAUAUUUUCAGAUUAUAAAAACCUAUAUCUACUAUCCAUAUUGCACUUGUAUCACCAUCUCUUUGCCGAACUAGUGCACCUAUACAAUUUACCAUUGUAUUGGGUGUGUUGGGGACACCAGAGACUCUUUGUUAUUUGGUUGCAGGGUUGUUUGAGAGAGACCAUCUUCAUCCUACGCUUCCCACGAAUUGAUAAACCUUAGGUCAUCCACUUGAGGGAAAUUUGCUACUGUCCUACAAACCUAUGCGCUUGGAGGCCCAACAACGUCUACAAGAAGAAGGUUGUGUAGUAGACAUCAAGCUCUUUUCUGGCGCCAUUGUCGGGGAGGUGAGUGUUUGAAGGUAUAUAUUUAGAUCUUGCAAUCGAAUCUUUUUGUUUCUUGUUUUAUCACUAGUUUAGUCUAUAAAAGAAAACUACAAAAAAUGGAAUUGAGUGUGUCUCAUAUGCUUCAUCUUUUUAAUAUCUUUUGUGAGUAUGAUGGAAAGGAAAAUUGUGCUCAAUUGCUAGAAGAAGAAUGUAUUAAAAUGCUUGGUACUAAAGCUUUGAAUGAUGAGCAUGAUUGCAAUGUUGUUAGUAUGAACUCUUUGAUUAUCCAUAGUACUAAUGAUGAUUGCACUAGUUAUGAUGAAAAUGUCUCCUAUAAGCAUGUCGAUUUUUGUGGAGUGAAUCGGAUUUGCAUGUACACACCAAAUAGGGAAAAUAGAUAUUGCAAGAGGCAUAAGCAUUUAGAAACUAAAUGGUUGCAAGAAAGGCUUAAUGUUAGUGCUGAAAAUUUAAGAUAUCUUUACCGUACUUGUGAACUUUGCAAUGAACAUGGUCAUUUAAAUAUCCAAUGCAAAUUGUUUCAUGAUCGAAUCGUGUCCAAAAAUUGUGAUGACUUGAUUUACCUUGAACAUCAUAAUGAACUUAGUUUUCUUUUGGGUUAUGAAGAAUUGAAACGUGUAACUAAGCAUAUUCUAGAAUUUAAUCUUGAGGAUUUUCUUGAUAUUAAUCUAGAGGAAAUUUAUUUGUGUUGUGCGGUGAAUUGUAUUGAAAAUCCUUAUAUUGCCAAUUACCUAAAGAAAAGAAAGCAAAUAGAAGAUGAAGAGAAUACUAAUGAAAGGGAAGAGACUUCCCAAUAUCCUCCUAUUAUUUCUUAUGAUGAAUCAGGUAACGAGGAGGAGCUUUCUAUUCAACCAAUCUCAUCUAUAAGGAGCUCAGAGAAGAAGGUUGAACCCACACAUAAUGUGAAGAAUAAAAAUAAAAGAAGGAGCAACAAAGGUAGAAAGGUAUCCCUCCCAAAUGAUGUUGCUCCUACUACUCAUUGUGAUGAUGAUAAUUGCUAUACUAUUGGUGCUAUCCAUACUAUUAAUGAUGAGAGUGAUUAUGCUUAUGAUAUGAAAAGUCCCAAGCUUGGGGAUGCUAUGUUUGAUGAGGAUGACAUAUUUGAGAAUAUAUUUGCUGAAAUUAGUUUUUGUCCCAAGCUUGGGGAUGCUAUGCUUAAUGAAGAUGAUAUUUUUAGCCUCCCAAGUUUUGAUAUGCAAAGUUGUUAUGAUGAUAGCAUGCCUUCUACUCAUGAUGAUUAUAUUGAUGAAAGUGGGUUUGGAAGAGUGUCAACUCUAGGAAGUAAUGAUCCCACUAUUUUGGAGGAUGUUGAAUCUUAUAAUAUUUAUGAAAGUGGAUUUGGAAGAGUGUCAACUUUAUUUAGUGAUGAUUCCACUAUCUUGGAAGAGGUUUCAAUUGAUUAUGAUGAGAACAAAGUUGCUACUUAUGAUGAUUAUUGUGAUGAAACUUAUGCUAUAACAGGUAGUGAUGAUUAUAUUUAUAAAACUUGUCAUGAUAUGAUUACCCUUUUUCUGAACAUUACUCUUUUAAUGUGGAAACAGUUUUUAGUAUUCAAGUCUCUUAUGAUACUCCCACUAUUCCGAAUGAGAAGAAUUUUGCUUAUGUGGAGAGUAGUAAAUUUUUUGUGCUUGUAGAUCAUGAAAAGAAUGCUUUAGGUUCUGGUUAUAUUGUUGAAUUCAUUCAUGAUGCUACUGAAAAUUAUUAUGAGAUAGGAACAUAUGCUUGUAGGAAUUGCAAUAAUAUCAAGUUUCCUCUCUAUGUGCUUAAAAUCUUGAAGCUAUGCUUGUUUUGCCUUCCUAUGCUAGUUGAUUGUUGUUCCCAUAAGUUGUUUGCUCACAAAAUCCCUAUGCAUAGUAAUUGGGUUAUAAUUAAAUGAUCUAGUCUUAUGCUUCAUGAUGCUCCCGUUAUGUUUCAAUCCUUAUCUUUUAUGUGAGCAUCAUUGCCAUCAUCAUGCCUAGCUAGAAAGGCAUUAAAGAAAAGCGCUUGUUGGGAGACAACCCAAUAUGUAUCCUUACUGUAUUUGUGUGUUCACAUGAUUAUGCUACUGUAAUAAUCAUGUUUUAUAGCUUUUGUUUCAAUAAAGUGCCAAGUAAGACCUUUAGGAUAGCCUAGAUGAUAUUUGUGUUGAUCCUGCUGAAAAUCAGAAACUUUUGCACCCAGUAAAUUAGUUUUGAUAAUUCACAGAAAUGUUCUUCUGAUCUGAUUAUUUUUGCUCUGGAUGGUACACCAAUUUCUUAGGACUUCCUAAUUUGGUAGAAUGUUUGGAGUUCCAGAAGUAUACGUUUGAUACAGAUUACUACAGACUGUUCUGUUUUUGACAGAUUCUGUUUUCUAUGUGUUGUUUGCUUAUUUUGAUGAAUCUAUGAGUAGUAUCGGAGGGUAUGAACCAUAUAUAAGUUGUAAUACAGUAGAUAUUACACCAAUAUGAAUUUUGAAUGAGUUCAUUACAGUACCUAAGUGGUUGUUUUAUUUUCUUAUAAUAACGGGGCUUACGAGUUUUCUGUUGAGUUUUGUGUUGUGAAGUUUUCAAGUUUUGGGUAAAGAUUCGAUGGACUAUUGAAUAAGGAGUGGCAAGAGUAUAAGCUUGGGGAUGCCCAAGGCACCCCAAGUUAAUAUUCAAGGAUGGCCAAGAGCCUAAGCUUGGGGAUGCCGCGGAUGGCAUCCCCUCUUUCGUCUUCGUUCAUCGGUAACUUUACUUGGAGCUAUAUUUUUAUUCACCACAUGAUAUGUGUUUUGCUUGGAGCGUCAUUUUCUAUUGUUAGUAUUUUCUUUCUGUUAUUUAGAAUAAAUGUUUUGUAUCUAUAUUUUCAAUAAAAAUGUCAAGGAUAGCCUUUACCAUGCUUAUUUUGCUAGUAUACAUGUUGCUGUUUGAAAAUAGAAAGUUUACUGCUGUUGCAAAAAUUCCCUAGAAAAUUCAGAGAAUGAUAUAAUGUUGAAUUUUUUUGCAUAUUGAGAUCUGAUAAAUAUUCUACAUCUUAGUAUUUUUAUCAUAAUUUUUGGAGUUAGGGAAGUAUGAUGAAUCUUGCAUUCUUUACAGACUGUACUGUUUUGGCAGAUUGCUGUUAUGUUUGCAUUGUUUGCAUAUGUUUGCUUGUUUAAUGAUUCUAUUUGAGGAUAGGAGUAUUAAAUAUGCAGAGGCAUUUAGUAUGCAAUGUUGAAUAAUAAUUUUUGUGAUUUGUUACAGUAGAAAAUGAUAGGGUUUUGCAUUGGUUUAUACUAACUUAUCUCAUGAGUUCUUGUUGAGUUUUAUGUGGAUGAAGUUUUUGAGAAAUAGAGAAACCAUGAUAUGAGAGGGAUUAAGGAGACACAAAAGUUCAAGCUUUAGGUUGCCCAAGGCACCCCAAGAUAAUAUUUCAAGAAGUCUCAAGCAUCUAAGCUUGGGGAGGCCCCAUAGGCAUCCCACCUUUCUUCUUCAACAACUAUCGGUUAGUAUCGGUUGAGCCUAAGUUUUUGCGUUUUCACAUGAGUUGUGCUAUCCUUGCAAUGUCAUUUUAUUUUGUUUUGCUUGCUGUUUGAAUAAAAUACCAAGAUCUGAAAUUCUUAAAUGAGAGAGUCUUCACAUAGCUACAUAAUUAUUUAGCUACUCAUUGAUCUUCACUUAUAUCUUUUUGGAGUAGUUUGUCAUUUACUCGUGUGCUUCACUUAUAUCCUAUGAGUAAAUAGUUGAAUGAGUUGAAUGUCAUAAAUAUGAAAUUAUAUAUGUUUCAUUUGCUUAUCCCAUGGGGAGUAAUGACUUCACAUCUAAGAAGUAGAGGUUGUAAAUUUAUUGAAGGUUAGCAAGCAUUGUAUUGGUCAUUUGAACAAUUCAUAGAAUAUUGAAGGAAGAGAGAUUUCACAUAUAAAUAUACUAUCCUAGACAUCUUUUAUAAUUGUGAGCACUCAUUAAGUAUGACAUGCUAAAGAGUUGAUGUUGGACAAGGAAGACAACAUAAUGGGUUAUGUUUUCUCAUAUCUCAGUAAAAGUAUAUUGUCAUGGAUCAUUCAAGCAUGUUGAGCUUGCCUUUACCCCUCAUGCUAGCCAAAAUUCCCUGCACCAAGUAGAGAUACUACUUGUGCUUCCAAAUAUCCUUAAAACCCAGUUUUUGCCAUGAGAGUCCACCAUACCUACCUAUGGAUUGAGUAAGAUCCUUCAAGUAAGUUGUCAUGUUGCAAGCAAUAAAAAUUGCUCUCUAAAUAUGUAUGACUUAUUAGUGCGGAGAAAAUAAGCUUUAUACGAUCGUGUGAUAUGGAAGUAAUAAAAGGCACGGACUGCAUAAUAAAGGUUCAUAUCAAAAGUGGCAAUAUAAAGUGACAUUCUUUUGCAUUAAGAUUUUGUGCAUCCAACCCUAAAAGCACAUGACAACCUCUGCUUCCCUCUGCGAAGGGCCUAUCUUUUACUUUAUGUCUUUUACUUUAUGCAAGAUUCAAGGUGAUCUUCACCUUUCCCUUUUUCAUUUUAUCCUUUGGCAAGCACCUCGUGUUGGAAAGAUCAUGAUAUAUAUAUAUAUAUAUAUAUAUAUAUAUAUCCAAUUGGAUGUAAGUUAGCAUGAACUAUUAUUGUUGACAUCACCCAAAGGUGAAUACGUUGGGAGGCAACACUAUAAGCCCCUAUCUUUCUCAGUGUCCAAUUAAAACUCCAUAACCAUAAGUAUUGCAUGAGUGUUAGCAAUUGUAGAAGACUAUAUGAUAGUUGAGUAUGUGGAGUUUGCUAAUCAAAGCUCUAACAUAGACCCUUCCUGAAAAUAAGAUGAAUUGCAGUUGUUUGAUGAUUGAGAAUGAAGUUUGCUAGUUUUCAAGAAAGUUUAUGGCCUAUGCUUUAAUAUGUGAAUAGCUUGCUACUCGAUCUUGAGAAGUUUUAUGAGAUGAACUACUGUUAUGACAUAUAAUCAUGCUAGAAAAGGUGAUUGAAAUUAUCAUUGAUCAAACUUCUGCACCUUCUAGCAUUCACACUUCAUAAAUUCUUUUUUUUUAUCAUUUACCUACUCGAGGACGAGCAGGAAUUAAGCUUGGGGAUGCUGAUACGUCUCCAACGUAUCUAUAAUUUAUGAAGCAUUCAUGCUACUUUAUUAUCUGUUUUGAAUGUUUAUGGGCUUUAUUAUACACUUUUAUAUUAUUUUUGGGACUAACCUAUUAACCUGAGGCCCAACCCAUACUGUUGUUUUCUUGCCUAUUUCAGUGUUUCAAAGAAAAGGAAUAUCAAACAGAGUCAAAACAGAAUGAAACCUUCGGGAGCGUUAUUUUUGGAACGGAAGUGAUCCAGGAGACUUGGAGUUGAAGUCAAGGAAGCUUCGAGGUGGCCACGAGGGUGGGGGGCGCCCCCCUACUGGGCGUGCCCCCUAUCUCGUGGGCCCCUCGUGGCUCUCCCGACCAACUUCUUCCGCCUAUAUAUUCCCAUAUACCCUAAAAACAUCGAAGCAAACAAUAGAUCGGGAGUUCCGCCUCCGCAAGCCUCGGUAGCCACCAAAAACCUCUUGGGAGCCCGUUCCGGCACCCUGCUGUAGGGGGGGGGGAUCCCUCACCGGUGGCCAUCUUCAGCAUCCCGCCGCUCUCCAUGACGAGGAGGGAGUAGUUCACCCUCGGGGCUGAGGGUAUGUACCAGUAGCUAUGCGUUUGAUCUUUCUCUCUCGUCUUCUUUACUUUGCACAAUCUUGAUGUAUCGCGAGCUUUGCUAUUAUAGUUGGAGCUUAUGAUGUUUCUCCCCCUCUACUCUCUUUUAAUGGAUUGAGUUUUCCCUUUGAAGUUAUCUUAUCUGAUUGAGUCUUUAAGGAUUUGAGAACACUUGAUGUAUGUCUUGCUGUGCUUAUCUGUGGUGACAAUGGGAUAUCACGUGAUCCACUUGAUGUAUGUUUUGGUGAUCAACUUGAGGGUUCCGCCCAUGAACCUAUGCAUAGGGGUUAGCACACGUUUUUGUCUUGACUCUCCGGUAGAAACUUUGGGGCACUCUUUGAAGUACUUUGUGUUGGUUGAAUAGAUGAAUCUGAGAUUGUGUGAUGCAUAUCUAUAAUCAUGCCCACGGAUACUUGAGGUGACAAUGGAGUAUCUAGGUGACAUUAGGGUUUUGGUUGAUUUGUGUCUUAAGGUGUUAUUCUAGUAUGAACUCUAUGAUAGAUUGAACGGAAAGAAUAUCUUCAUGUUAUUUUAUUACGGACUCUUGAACAGAUAGAACAGAAAGGAUAACUUUGAGGUGGUUUCGUACCCUACCAUAAUCUCUUCGUUUGUUCUCCACUAUUAGUGACUUUGGAGUGACUAUUUGUUGCAUGUUGAGGGAUAGUUAUAUGAUCCAAGUAUGUUAUUAUUGUUGAGAGAACUUGCACUAGUGAUAGUAUGAACCUUAGGCCUUGUUUCCUACCAUUGCAAUACCGUUUACGCUCACUUUUAUCAUUAGUUACCUUACUGUUUUUAUAUUUUUAGAUUACAAAAACCUAUAUCUACUAUCCAUAUUUCACUUGUAUCACCAUCUCUUUGCCGAACUAGUGCACCUAUACAAUUUACCAUUGUAUUGGGUGUGUUGGGGACACAAGAGACUCUUUGUUAUUUGGUUGCAGGGUUGUUUGAGAGGGACCAUCUUCAUCCUACGCCUCCCACGGAUUAAUAAACCUUAGGUCAUCCACUUGAGGGAAAUUUUCUACUGUCCUACAAACCUCUGCACUUGGAGGCCCAACAACGUCUACAAGAAGAAGGUUGUGUAGUAGACAUCAGCGGGUUAUUCCUUUACUUUGCGUUCGGUGCGGUACUUGUCGAGCCAGAGGCGAAGUCGUGGUUGGAUGGUUUUGGCUGCAAAGGUGGUUGCAGCCACGGGAGGCCGUCGGAGAGGAGGGCCAUGGCGGGCACAGGUCUGCCGGACCUGCAACUGCGGCUGAUGACGACGGCAGGAGAGCUUGGGGUCAGCCAUGGUGUCAGCUUGGCCAGGGAGAUUGAUAACCCACAAUUAUAGGGGAUCGCAACAGUUUUCAAGGGUAGAGUAUUCAACCCAAAUUUAUUGAUUUUACACAAGGGGAGCCAAAGAAUAUUCUCAAGUAUUAGCAGCUGAGUUGUCAAUUCAACCACACCUGAAAGACUAAAUAUCUACAGCAAAGUAUUUAGUAGCAAAGUAGUAUGGAAGUAAUGGUAAUGGCUGCAAAAGUAACAGUAGCAGUUUUGUAGCAAUCGUAACCGUGGCAAUGGCAAAGUAACUGAGCAAAGAUCAAUAUGUGAAAAGCUCGAUGGCAAUGGAUCAGUGAUGGAUAAUUAUGUCGGAUGGCAUUCAUCAUGUAACGGUUAUAACAUAGGGUGACACAGAACUAGCUCCAAUUCAUCAAUAUAAUGUAGGCAUGUAAUCCGAAAAUAGUUAUACAUGCUUAUGGAAAAGAAAUUGCAUGACAUCUUUUGUUCUACCCUCCCGUGGCAGCGGGGUCUUAAUGGAAACUAAGGGAUAUUAAGGCCUCCUUUUAAUAGAGUACCAGACCAAAGCAUUAACACUUAGUGAAUACAUGAACUCCUCAUACUACGGUCAUCACCGGGAGUGGGCCCGACUAUUGUCACUCCGGGGUUGCCGGAUCAUAACACGUAGUAGGCACUACAAAAAAAUACACUUCCAUGAUGAUACGUGUUUGUCACAGUAGGUCGCAUUUUUUGUCAUGCAUGUACAUCCAUGACGAUUUUAUGACAGAAUCAAGAUAGUCAUACCUGUGCUGUCGUAGAAGUGUUCCAUGACAUUACCGAAAUUAUCAUCACGGAAGUGUCCACUUCCAUGACGAUAAAUCGCGCGUCACAAAAGUGCUUUCGUUAAGGGUGACCGACACAUGGCAUCCACAGUAAUGGAACGCCAUUAAGCUAUCGGGUCGGGUUUUGGAUCCGAUAACCCGUUAACAGCCUCGACCAAUGGGGAUUUUCCACAUGUAAAAUCAUCAUUGGCUGGAGGAAACACGUGUCGGCUCAUCGUUGGGACAGAUGUCAUCCACUCAUUGGACAUAAGGCGCCUAUGAUACGUCGACACGUGGCACGGCCCAACAGAGGCCCAUUCCUGUGAAAAGGCCGGCCCGUUUGACUUGGUCAAAAGGUGGCGGGCCGGCCCAUGGAAAGCCUAUUAACGACUUGUUCGCAUAUAGCCCAUUUACAACCCGCUAACCCAAGGCCCAUUACGCCCUAUCUGAAUUAGGCCCAGUAGCGUCAUCUGGGCCAUCCAAUAUGAUUCCAGCCCAUUUUCACUUCUGGCCCAUGUAUGGCCCAUGAUGUCUUUCGGCCCAUAUGAGGCCCUUUGUAACUCUUGGCCCAUUAACGGCCUGUGGUGAAACUGGCCCGUAAUGAAUAGUGUAUCACUUUACACCCAUUAACGGCCCAUGGUGAAACUGGCCCGUAAUGAACAGUGUAUCACUUUAUACCCAUUAACGGCCCGUUAUUCCGUUGGGCCGUUUCCAGCCCAUGUUAUCUUUCGGACUUCUCAGAGCCCAUUUAUUCUUGUGCUCAUUCUAGCAUUCAUUUACUUACGGCCCGUUACUGUCAUUUUCUGCUUGUGGGCCAAAUUCAGCCCGUGGUUACAGUCGGCCCGUUUGUGGUCCGUUAAUACGUUGGGCUGUUUUCAUAGCGUCAUCAAAUAUGGCCUAUUAAUGAUGGCCCGUUAUGGUCGGCCCAUGAACGGAUGAUUCCAACUCUAGCCCGUUUACGGCCAUAAUGCGGUCUGUUAUUGGCCCAUGUUUGGCCAAUCGAUCAUACGGCCCGUAUAAGGCCCAUUGAUGAUACGGCCCAUAGAAGGCCCAUUUUUUCUAUGGACCGUAGAAGGCCCAUUGUUUCUAUGACCCGUAGAAGGCCCAUUGUUUCUACGGCCCGUAGAAGGACCACUGUUUCUACGGCCUGUAGGAGGCCCAGUGUCACUACAGUAAAUAUUAGCCCAUGGUUGUUGUGGCCUAGUUUUAAAAAAUAGGUUAUUGCAGCCACUAGCAAACCGCGGAAAAAGAACUGCAAUGACUACAAGCAAACAAAUAAACAAGACAACAAGGAAAUAAAUAAGCAAGCAACUUACGCUAGGCUAUCACGGCUAUCACACAUAUUACAUUCACUGGGCAUCAAAGUUUGCCACCAGUGCAAAUAAACACACCGACAAAAGAAUAUACAAAACUAAGAGCACUUCAGAAGGCACUAGGCCUCACCAGGUCGGGCCCCCCAAACAGCUGAAGAAGCUGAGUAGACCUUAGUUGUGUCAACGAUAGAUGCAUCAACAGUAGAUGUAUGGCAUGAUGGUGCGCACGGCAGUCCUUUGACAUCUUCAUUACAUCUUUGACUUCAAGUCGGAGCUGAGCUGAAGCAAGCCUUUCCGCUUUAAGUUGAGACUGAAGAAGUCGAACUGAUUGAGGCACCGACUACACAUAGGUUGUCUCACACCUGCUGGUGAGUAGCUUCAACUCACUGUCUUCAUCAAGACAGGAACUUAGGGUCAUCUCGCUGUCCUCAAGAUGGUUUGGCUCACUAUCUUCCCUAAAGUUCUGCCUGGCGUAAGAGAUACGACUCUGAAAGAGAAACAAGGAGACACGUACCAGGUUUCACAAUUAUAUAAGCAAAUAAAUGGAUCUGUUCGCAUAAGGAACAUGUUUUUACAACUACAAUUUGAAACUGAUAGUUGUUGCAAACAUCCAAUCAGAUGUAAACAGCAAAGCAAAUAGCAGUGGAGGAAAUGAUGCCUAUCCAAAUCUAUACUAGAAUAAAGUUUGAAGGCUUGAGAAGGAUGAACUAACAUUACAUGUUAACACGGGCUGGACAAAGCCCUUCUCCAUGUUGAUGGAAGGAUAAUUCAAAAAAUUCCCCAAAGAAAAUUCUUUAUAAGCGUUGCCAUUAUUCUACAUUUUGCAAAGAGUAAAUAUAGAUCAAAUAAUAUUGGAAGAAACAGAGGAUAAUGAAUCUCAGGUGCAGACAGAUGAUACAUAAUCAAAUAGCAAUUAAUUAAGUACUCCCUCCAUUCCUCAAUAUAAGGUGUAUUAUUUUUCCAAAAAGUCAAACUUCUCUUAGUUUGACCAAGUUUAUAGACAAAAAUAUCAAUAUCUAGAAUACCAAAUCAUUAUCACUAGAUUCAUCAUGAACUAUAUUUUUACAUUUUAUAUAUUUAGUAUUAUAAAUCUUUAUAUAUUUUGCUGUAAAGUUGGUCAAACAUAGACAAUAGUUGACUUUUUGAAAUAUAAUACACCUUAUAUUUAGGAACGGAGGGAGUACAUCGUUACAAGGCAAAAGGGAGAGAGGUACUGACAAGAGCAAUGCAGAGCCCAGUAUUGUUGUGAGAUCGUAUGAUCCUUUGAGCAAGGAGAUUCAUCAGAAAUUUAGGAGUUUAAAUUUUGAGACAGUACCUGACGCUCGGCUCUCAGCAGUUCUAAUAGGGGUUUGGCCACUGGAGUAGGGGUAAAGUGUGGUACAGUUGGGCCUGUGUUUCCUGUGGCUGCUGAUCUAUCUGAUUUAACAGUUAUCACUACCUUUUCCAAAUACCUAGUUUGUACUCCUUGAGGAUCUGCACUCACCCUCUUCCUUUUGGACAUCUAUUAUGAAAGAACAACAUUUGACUAGAAAAACAUAGUGUGACGACACAUGGAAUAGGUAUAGUAAAUGGAUAGGUAUGGCAUAUACUCAUAUAUGAUGCUUAAACUAAGCAGAUGGUGUAACAAAGUAGAAGUAAUGCAAGAGGUCAGAUGUAAAAUAUGUGCGACCAAUACAACUUUGCAAAGUUAGAGCAAGCAUCUUGAUGGGUGAAUAAGAUAGGCCAUCCUCCACCAUGCCAAGUUUGUUAGCCAGUGGAUUGUUCCACCAUAUUCCUCUCGUGCGCCCAUUCUCAUAUUCAUUUUGAUAAUGUUCAAUAUCUGACAUGCAUGAAAAUAUAAAAAACAAGUGAGAUUUUCUUUGUAAUGCAGAAGUGAUUCUAAUCCAAUACUGCCUCCCUGUAAACCCCUUUGUGCUAUCUCUGCAAUUCUUUUAAGAGAUGCCAUGCAUGCUGUAAUUUGGUGUGUGCAUUAAUAUAAUGUGGCCUAGUACUCAAAAUAUGAGAGCUCUAGAAGUGAUGACACUUUGCAGAUGACAACUUCAACAUAUAGUAAAGAAGAACAAGUCGACCUGACCUGAUAGAUUCAAAAUAUACUAAGGGAGAACAACUCGACCUGACCAGUCGACCGCAAGAGAAGAGGAUCAUCUUAAAGAAGAGCAGAAGAGCAAUCAGAUUGAAGAUACUACAAGUCUUUCAAUACAAUGUCGGUUGGCCACCCAUGAUGAACUAGAGCGCACAGAGAAAUACAAUUCUUUCCGGUCUCUCCAUAUGUGGCUCACAUGCAUUUCGAAACUAAAGUAGGAACAUUUAGCUAACCAAUUAAACAUCUCUCAGUUUUACUAAUAUCAGCAAUAGUAUCAGAUAUGAACUUGUACAACUAAGCUUGUUUAGCUCGAUGGGUGGAGCAGUGCUAUUAUGACACGAACCACGUAGGCUGAUUGUGGUCAUCAUAAAAUGGGGAAACCAUAAGCAUGAUGAGUACAGUGUUCACCAUGGCAGUGGGAUGGCAGAUCUGAAGCUGCAAGCCGCACAGAGGGUAGUUAGCAACCGACAUUUGCUUUGAAAUAACAACUAAGAUUUGGUAUGGACAAGAAAUUACGGUCAACAAGUGACAAAGAAAUGCAAUUAUGUUGUCUCUCUAUAUGUCGCGACAUGCAUUUGGAAACUCAAGUGGGACCUUUAGCUAACCAAUUAAAUGUGUCGUUUAACUAAUAUCAGUAUCAUAUCACAAUCAUAUUUGAACAACUAAGCUUUCGGAUUCUGAGUGUUGUGUUGUUUAGCUUCAAGGGUGGAGUAAUGCUAGUACGACAAAAAGCACCUACGAAGAUCAUAGUAGAGUAAAUAAAAGGGGAGAACCCUAAGCAUCAAGAGAAAAAUCAGGAAAGUGGAACUAGCUGGACCAGUGGGUGGCGCACAUGCUUUUCGAAACGAAUAUAGGAACAUUAGGUGACCAAUUAAACGUUCUCUGUUUUAGUGAUAUGAGCACCACAUCAGAUUCGUAUUUCAACAUGUAAGCUUUGGGUUGAGGUCUUGAGGAGCAGUGCUAGCACGACACGAAGCACCUACGAUGAUGGUAAUGAAUAUAAAGGGGGGAAGCCAUAAGCUUUACGAGUAUAGUGCCCGUGCCAUGGCGGAUAUGAAGGUGCAAACCGGACAAAGCUACUUCACAACCAAUGUUUGCUUUCAACAAGCCACUACGAUUUGGUAUGGACAAGAAAAGUACAGUAAACAAAUUACAAUCUAUUUUCUGGGUGAGAUCAAUAACUUAAGCACAUAUGGAAGAGUACCACCUCUAUUGCGAUGCUGUGUAGGCCUAUAUUGAUACGUUGAGGGUGCUACGGGUGCGAUGGCUGUCGGCGGCGGGGAAGAAGACUUUAGACGGCGGACGGCCAGGUCGGGGGAUAAAUCCUGUUGCCGUGGACGAGGCGGUCGUAGGAGCGGCAACGACAAGGUGGACGACAGCGCCGAUGAAGCAAGAGGAGGCGAUGAAAGGAUCCUGGUCCAGCGCUGUGGAUGGGAGACGCCCAUCUCUUGCAAUGGACGGCGGGGUAGGGGUAGCAGCUCUGGCAAGGUGGACGAUGGGGUGGUAGACGGAGGAGGCUGGCUGCAGUGCGGAGGUUGUCGUGCCACCGAUGGUGUAUGCAUGGGGAAAUGGAGGGGAGGGGGGAUAUCAAACUUUGGGACACGCUUCUCUGAAAUGUGGGAAAGUUACGAACUUAUCCCCCGUUUAAAAUUUCGGACAUUGCGUCGGUUGGGGAUAUGACGGUAAUCUCGCAUCUCCCAAAUAUUUGCCGGUAACUAUUUCGGGCGAGGAGAGGGUGUUUUGCCGCCCACGUUUGGCACCCAUGGUGUAUGAACGGGGCUGACAGAUAGGGCGGUUGUGUCACGUCUGAGGGAAGUUACACAUCUGCCCCUAUUUAAAAUAUUAGCCUACAUCAAUCUCGGACGAAGAGAGUUUGUUUUGCCGCCCACCGUGUAUGAAUGGGGAAAUGGAGGAAGAGACACAUGUCUUUCGGACGAGCUUGAAUCAAAUGUGGUUUGGCGCCCACGUUUGGCGCCCAUCGUGUCUGAAUGGGCUCAGAGGCCGUUAUGUCACGUCUGAUUGAAGUUACUAGCCUACCCCUAUCUACAGCAGUGUAAAUCCAGUCGAUAAGGAUGUCAAGUGUCAGGGGUAGACAGUAAUUUCCAUCUCGCAAACAAUUGCUUCAAGCAGCCCACUAAUUAUAGUGGGUGUUUAGCUGCUUCAUUCAAAACUUGGGAGAAUUAGCAUUCACGUUUGCCCUGGGCCCUGGCAAACUAAAUUCAAAUCCAAUUUGUAUUCGAUUACAAAUAUCCACAGAUAAUUCUAUGUUUUAUUAUUUAUUUCUUCAAAACCACAACAAAGAUUUAUUCCACAUUUCUAUAUGAUUAUGAUUAAGAAAUGCCGUGAUCUUCGAAUUCAGUAGGUUGGAUAUACUCUGUGUUAAACAAUUAUUUCAUCCAAUACAAUAUGCUCACACAAAAAACAGUUCACCUUAUGUCAAUCAUAUAAGUACUGAGGAUUACCUCGCCUAAAAAAUUUGGAUCAUUACAACACAUGGACAACAUAGGGGGUCUUGCAACAUAAUCCAUUCAGAGACAUGACACAACAUGCAAGUACAAUAAUCUAAUGACAAUUUCAACUGGUAUCUAAAUAAGAACCGGGAUUACCCUAGGCUUCAGAUAGCAAAAACAGCAGGACCUCCUCCAUCUUCAAAUGCAACAUUCUUACUUCCUCCAAUUCUUGGGUUGCUUGCAUAAUGCGUGCCACUAAUUCUGUAAUUUCCAGCCUCAAGAUAAAGAUUACCUCAUUCAUGGCAGCCACACCAUCUCUUUCUGCCUCUAGUAGAGCCUCAAGCACUAUAAUAUCUGUGCUCAGACUGCUCUCCGGCGGUGUUGCCUCUGAACUGCUACCAUCUGGUAACAUGGAUGGCGCACUGCUUCCACAAAUAGAUUCUGGGGUUGUACAUUGUGUCCUAGUGUGAAUGGCGUCCUAAAAGGUUUCCACUGUACAUAAGUAAGAGAUAGUUAUCGUAUGAUCUAGGCAGUAAGCUUACAUGGUAAACGACAGGCGAAUUAUUACCAAUCAUGGCAAGCUAUAUUUAAAUGGUUCGAAGCAGCAUCAGCCGAAAAGAAAUUAAAAGGGUAAGAUGAAACUAGGGAUGUAAGUGGAAAAUAAACGACAUCCGCCAGUCCCAUCUAGUUAGUUUUUGCUAGCUCCCUAGUUCAUUUUCCUCAAAAAACAAAAACUCUUUUGAACUAUCAUAUCACUAGUGGACUUUAAUCGGGAUUAAACGGGACCUAGUUGACAUCCCUAAUUGAAAGGGAGUGUACCACUGAUACGUCUCCAACGUAUCUAUAAUUUUUGAUUGUUCCAUGCUAUUAUAUUACCCAUGUUGGAUGUUUAUGGGCUUUACUUUACACAUUUAUAUCAUUUUUGGGACUAACCCCGUAUUGCUGUUUUUUUGCCUAUUUCAGUGUUCGAAGAAAAGGAAUAUCAAACGGAGUCCAAACGGAAUGAAACCUUCGGGAGCGUGAUUUUUGGAACAAACGUGAUCCAGAGGACUUGGAGUGCAAGUCAUGAAGCAAUCAAGGCGGCCACGAGGGUGGAGGGCACCCCCCUACUGGGCGCGCCCCCUAUCUCAUAGGCCCCUCGGGCGUCCGCCGACUUACUUUUUCCUCCUAUAUAUACCCACAUACCUCAAGAACAUCAAAGGCAACCACAAAAUACUAUUUCCACCACCGUAACCUUCUGUAUCCGCGAGAUCCCAUCUUGGAGCCUUCGCCGACGCUCCACCGGAGGGGGAGUCAACCAUGGAGGGCUUCUACAUCAACACCAUAGCCUCUCCGAUGAGUUGUGAGUAGUUUAGCACAGACCUUCGGGUCCAUAGUUAUUAGCUAAAUGGCUUCUUCUCUAUUUUUGGAUCUCAAUACCAUGUUCUCUCGAUCUUCUUGGAGAUCUAUUCGAUGUAACUCUUUUUGUGGUGUGUUUAUCGAGAUCCGAUGAAUUGUGGGUUUAUGAUCAAGUUUAUCUAUGAGAAAUAUUUGAAUCUCCUCUGAAUUCUUUUAUGUGUGAUUAAGUUAUCUUUGCAAGUCUCUUCGAAUUAUCAGUUUGGUUUGGCCUACUAGAUUGAUCUUUCUUGCAAUGGGAGAAGUGCUUAGCUUUGGGUUCAAUCUUGCGGUGUCCUUUCCCAGUGACAGCAGGGGAAGCAAGGCAUGUAUUGUAUUGUUGCCAUCGAGGAUAAAAAGAUGGGGUUUAUAUCAUAUUGCAUGAGUUUAUCCCUCUACAUCAUGUCAUCUUUCUUAAUGUGUUACUCUGUUCUUUAUGAACUUAAUACUAUAGAUGCAUGCUGGAUAGCGGUCGAUGUGUGGAGUAAUAGUAGUACAUGCAGGGAGGAGUCGGUCUACUUGUCACGGAUGUGAUGCCUAUAUACAUGAUCAUGCCUAGAUAAUCUCAUAAUUAUUCGCUUUUCUAUCAAUUGCUCGACAGUAAUUUGUUCACCCACCGUAAUACUUAUGCUAUCUUGAGAGAAGCCACUAGUGAAACCUAUGGCCCCGGGGUCUAUCUCUUAUCAUAUAAGCUUUCAAUAUACUUUUACUUGUAUCUUUACUUUUCCAAUCUAUAUUAUAAAAUACCAAAAAUAUAUUUAUCUUAUCAUAUUAUCUCUAUCGAAUCUCACUUUUGCAAGUGGCCGUGAAGGGAUUGACAACCCCUUUAUUGCGUUGGUUGCGAGUUCUUGUUUGUUUGUGUAGGUGCGUGGGACUUUUGAGGAACCUCCUAUUGGAUUGAUACCUUGGUUGUCAAAAACUGAGGGAAAUACUUACGCUACUAUUGCUGCAUCACCCUUUCCUCUUCAAGGAAAACCAAAGCAAGCUCAAGACGUAGCAAGAAGGAUUUCUGGCGCCAUUGCUGGGGAGGUCUUCACUCAAGUCAAGACAUACCAAGUACCCAUCACAAACUCAUCUCCCUCGCAUUUACAUUAUUUGCCAUUUGCCUCUCGUUUUCCUCUCCCCCACUUCACCCUUGCCGUUUUAUUCGCCCUCUCUUUCCCAAUCUCUUCUCUCUUUUCUGUUUGCCUUCCCGUUGCCAUGGCUGAAUCAAAAAGAACUAAGGGUCCUUUCCAGGGUUCUAGUACCUUGGAUAGCCCUUCUAUCCUCUCUAAGCUCAUAAAUAAUGAUGCUAUGGAAAGACCCACCGAGGUCAUCAAUGAGAGCUUAAAUAAUUUUGAUGAAGAUGACUCCAAUUUUUUUUGCUGUUUGCUUGACGAGUCUUUAAAGAUGCUUGGGAUAGGUUAUUAAGGAUUUGGGCUAGCUAUGUGCCACAAUAUCAAAUUGAACUUUACCUAAAAAGUUUUUAUGUUAGCUUACCCGCUUAUUUCAAGCAAGUUCUAGAUUCUAUUUUUGAAGAAGGUUUUCUUAAGGGGGAUGCAAUAGGUACCUAUGAAAAAAUGAAAACCAUAUUUGGGCACCCUAUGAAUGAUAAGGUUGAAUCAACUACUCUCUUAUGCUUUUACCAAAACGAAAUUAUCAAAGAGAUGAAGGCUAGCUUAGAUGCAAAUUUCCAUAACAUGCUUAAUCUUACUUCAUCCAUUAAUGGCAAUGAGCUUACCCUAAAUAGAAGAAUGAAUGCCAUAGAGAGGAGAUCCUCUUUUUCAUUUCCGAGUGCCAAAGAUGGCACCACUUAGAUCUAUCCUCGCUUUUAUGCCUAGCUAGGGGCGUUAAACGAUAGCACUAGUUGGGAGGCAACCCAAUUUUAUUUGUGUUUUUUGUUUUUGUUUAGUAAUAAAUUUUGCAUCUACCAUCUGUUUAGAUGUGUUUUUAUGUUUUAGUUAGUGUUUGUGCCAAGUAGAACCUAUAGGAUAACCUAAGGUGAUAGUUAAUUUGAUUCUGUUGAAAAACAGAAACUUUGCGCGCACAAAAAUAAUUUUGUUAAUUCAUAGAAACGUGCUUUUGUGUUGAUUCUUUUUUCUGUAGAUCAAUAGACAGAUUUCCCGGGACUUCCUAUUUUGGUAGGACUUUUAGAGUUCCAGAAGUAUUCGAGAGUUACAAAUUGCUACAGACUGUUCUGUUUUUGAAAGAUUCUGCCUUUCGUGUGUUGUUUGCUUAUUUUGAUGCAUCUAUGGCUAGUAUGUAAGGGUAUGAACCAUAGAGAACUUGAAAUACAGUAGGUUUAACACUAGUAUAAAUAAAGAAUGAGUUCAUUACAGUACCUUAUGUGGUGGUUUUUCUUUCUUUCACUAACGGAGCUUAUGAGAUUUCCUGUUGAGUUUUGUGUUGUGAAGUUUUCAAGUUUUGGGUAAAGAUUUGAUGGACUAUGGAAUAAGGAGUAGCAAGAGCCUAAGCUUGGGGAUGCCCAUGGCACCCCAAGAUACUCAAUAAUAUCCAAAAGCCUAAGCUUGGGGAUGCCCCCGGAAGGCAUCCCCUCUUUCGUCUUCGUUUAUCGGUAACUUUACUUGGAGCUAUAUUUUUAUUCGCCACAUGAUAUGUGUUUUGCUUGGAGCGUCUUGUAUGAUAUUAGUAUUUGCCUUUUAGUUUUCCACAAUCAUCCUUGCUGUACACACCUUUUGGGAGAAGACCACUUGAUUGGAAUUUGUUAGAAUACUCUAUGUGCUUCACUUAUAUCUUUUGAGCUAGAUAGUUUUUGCUCUAGUGCUUCACUUAUAUCCCUUAGAGCACGGUGGUGGCUUAAUUUUGUAGAAAUUGUUAGUCUCUCAUGAUUCAGUUAUAUUAUUUUGAGAGUCUCUUAGAACAGCAUGGUAUUUGCUAUGGUUAUAAAAUUGGUCCUAGAAUCGUGGGCAUCCAAGUUGGGUAUAAUAAAAACUAUCAUAGGAAGUGAAUUGGAUGUUAUGAUCAAUUUGAUACUUGAUAAUUGUUUUGAGAUAUGGAGGUAGUGAUAUUAGAGUCAUGCUAGUUUGGGUGAUUAUGAAUUUAAAGAAUGCUCGUGUUGAAGUUAUCAAGUCCCGUAGCAUGCAUGUAUGGUUAAAGUUGUGUAACAAAUUUGAAACAUGAGGUGUUCUUAGAUUGUGCAUCCUUAUGAGUGGCGAUCGGGGACGAGCGAUGGUCUUUUCCUGCCAAUCUAUCCCCCUAGGAGCAUGCGCGUAGUGCUUGGUUUGUGAUGACUUGUAGAUUUUCGCAAUAAGUAUAUGAGUUCUUUUGACUAAUGUUGAGUCCAUGGAUUAUACUCACUCUCACCCUUCCAUCAUUGCUAGCCUCUUCGGUACCAUGCAUUGCCCUUUCUCACCUUGAGAGUUGGUGCAAACUUUGCUAGUGCACCCUGUGAUAUGAUAUGCUCUAUCACACAUAAACCUCCUUAUAUCUUCCUCAAAACAGCCACCAUACCUACCUAUUAUGGCAUUUCCAUAGCCAUUCCGAGAUAUAUUGCCAUGCAACUUUCCACCGUUCCGUUCUAUUUUUAUGACACAUAUUAUCAUUGUCAUAUUGCCUUGCAUGAUCACGUAGUCGACAUCGUAUUUUUGGCAAAGCCACCAUGCAUAAAUUUUCAUACAUGUCACGCUUGAUUCAUUGCCCAUCCCAGUACACCGCCGGAGGCAUUCAUAUAGAGUCAUAUCUUAUUCUAGUUUUGGGUUGUAAUUCAUGAGUUGUAAAUCAAUAAAAGUGUGAUGAUCAUCAUUAUUAGAGCAUUGUCCCCAAAGAAAAAAAAGAAAGGCCAAAGAAAAAAAAGGAAAAAAAGAAAGGCCCAAAGAAAAAAAGGAAAAAAAAGAAAAAAGAAAAAAGGGGCAAUGUUACUAUCUUUUUUCCACACUUGUGCUUCAAAGUAGCACCAUGUUCUUCAUAUAGCGAGUCUCAUAUGUUGUCACUUUCAUAUACUAGUGGGAAUUUUUCAUUAUAGAACUUGGCUUGUAUAUUCCUACGAUGGGCUUCCUCAAAAUUCCCUAGGUCUUCGUGAGAAAGCAAGUUGGAUGCACACCCACUAGUUUCUUUUGUUGAGCUUUCAUACAUUUAUAGCUCUAGCGCAUCCGUUGCAUGGCAAUCCCUACUCCUCAUGUUGACAUCAAUUAAUGGGCAUCUCCAUAGCCCGUUGAUUAUCCUCGUCAAUGUGAGACUUUCUCCUUUUUUGUCUUCUCCACACAAUCCCCAUCAUCAUAUUCUAUUCCACCCAUAGUGCUAUAUCCAUGGCUCACACUCAUGUAUUGGGUGAAAGUUGAAAAAGUUUGAGAUUAUUGAAGUACGAAACAAUUGUUUGGCUUGUCAUCGGGGGUGUAUAAGAUGGGAGCAUUUUCGUGUGACAAAAAUGAAGCAUAGCCUAACUAUAUGAUUUUGUAGGGAUGAACUUUCUUUAGCCAUGUUAUUUUGAGAAGACAUGAUUGCUUCAAUUAGUAUGCCUGAAGUAUUACUAUUUCUUAUGUCAAUAUGGACUUUUAUUUUGAAUCAUUUGGAUCUGAACAUUCAUGCCACAAUAAAGAAUAUUACAUUGAGAAUUAUGGUAGGUAGCAUUCCACAUCAAAAUGUCACACCCUAGCUAGUCAUGCAUCAGAGUGUGUGCAUCAUGUUUAAAAUUCCAUUUAAUUUGAAAUGGGGAUUUGUGAAACCCUCAGAAUCAUUUUUGAAAAUGAUCCAAAUAAAAAUUUCUCCAAAAGGGUCCAAGAAAAUGCUCAUGUUGCUCUCUGAAAAUAUUGGACAGAGAUAAAAAUCAAACCAAUAUUUUUAAGAGCUCAUAGGUAUUUAUUUUGGGCAUUUGGAAUUAAUGCAUAAAUAUUUGCACUGGAAAUAUAUUAGUUAUAUAUAUUAAUAUAUGUCCAAAUAUUAUGCCAUUUAUAAAGGAGCUCUAGAAUAAUAUAUCUAGCUCCUGCAAAAAUUGGCAUAAGGUAAAUAAAUGAUUUAAUAUAUUAUUUAAAUCAAAACAAAUGUCAGAAAAUUAAAAAACAGAAAUAAAUAAAAGGGAGAACCUUACCUGGGCUCCUCCCUGUGCAGCCCAGCCAGCUGGCCGGCCCAGCCAGCAGGUGGCCCAGCCCGCCUCCCUCCUCUGUCGUCUUCGUCCUCGACAGAGGGAGGGGAGUGUGGCCGGCGCGCGCGCGCGCCACCGCGCCACGCCACCUGCUCGCCUGCCUGCCUGCCCUCCCCUCCUCGUCUCGAUGCCCCGGACGACGCCAUGCCUUCCCCCCUGCUCUCUCUCACUCUCCCUCGGUUCCUCCCUCCUCUCCCUCGCUCCCUCUCUCACGGCCGAACACCACCAUCGCCGCUGUUCGCCAUAGCAGCCGUCACCGGCCACCCCUCGCCCCUCCGCUGAGCUCAGGAGCUCCGCCUCGACCCCCUCUUCCUCCCCACCGAUCCACGGGUCUCCGGAAGCCCUGCAUCGCCGCCCACGUCGCCGUUCCCCUCCUCGGCCACCGGAGAUCGUCGCCGUUGAAUCGGGAGCUACCGGACGUCCCCGAGCCUGCUAACCAUCCCUGCAGCUCCGCGGUGAGCCACUGACCCGAUUCCCCCUUGCCCCGUCGUCCCUAGCAUCCUGUAGCUGCCGCCCCCUUGAGCUCCGAAGCUCGCCGCCGCCGUGCCUCGUCGCUGCCGUGGCUGGAGCCGUUGUAGCUCGAAGCCGAGCACACCAUCGUGCUCCACACCUCACCAGGAGCACGUAGCACGCACCAACGCCUCCCCUAACGCCCUGCAUCGCCUAACCCGCCGUUGGCCGAACUCCGGCCGCCGCUCACGAGCUCGCCGUCGUCGGUACCGGCCACCUCAGGCACGGCCACCACCACCGUUCGACGCGCGGGAGCAAGGGCUCUCCAACGAGCCCAAGCACGACCUCGCCCGUGCCCUGUAGCGUGUUUCCGCAUUGCGCCGCCGUCUCGGGCCUCGCCGGCGUCAUGUCGCCGGUGGGUUUGACCCACCUUGACCACGGCAGGACCCCCCUGUGUCCCUGACAGGUGGGCCCAGCCCUGUUAGCUAAUUAGGAUUAGCACUAACCGAAUUAGUUAAACUAACUACCCCCCCUGACACUGACCAGUGGGCCCCAGCGCCACUAAUUCCUAAUUAGGAUUAAAUUAACCCUGUUAAACCCCCCCUGUCACUGACGUGUGGACCCCACACGUCAGGUUUGACCCCAGCCAGCCGCAGUUGACCGCUGACGUCAUGCUGACGUCAUGCUGGCGCAAUAUUUAUAUUUCUGGAUUUAAUUUAAAUCAGGAAAUUCCAGAAUAUUAUUUAAACUUCAAAAAUUCAUUACUUUUAUUCUGGAACUCCAAAUCAGACAAAUUAUAUAUGAAAAAUGAUCAGAAAAAUCCAAUAUAUCCAUCUGUACUAUUUUCAUGCAUGAUCAAACAAGUUAAAUUGAUGUUUUAAGCAGAACAAGGAAAAGCACUUUAAAAGGCCAUGUUUGAGUUUGAAAUUUGAAUCUUUGAUUCAAAUUGGUUCAAACCCUUCUGGUUUUAGUUGCAUUAGCCCAACACACUCAUAUUGCCAUGUUUCAUGCAUGCAUCAUAUUGUUGCACAUUGUUUGGUGAUGGUUGUGUAUCGGUGUCCUUUGCGACAGGUUCUGCCUCCGAGGAGUACCGUGAUUACCCUAACGAAGAACCGUAUCAGUGCAUCGAACCAUCAGGCAAGCAACCAACCAUUUGAUCAUAUCGAUACAAUCCCAUGUUCUCGCUCCUGCUCUCUUUUACUGCAUUAAGACAACGCGUUUCAAACUGCUGUGUGCUACGGUAGUUGAACCCAUUUCCUCUGCAUGACCUGUCAUUGCCACAGUAACUAGAUGAAACCCACUAGCAUGUGUAGGAGUUGAUUGAGCCAUAUGUAUGUGUUGUUCCUACCUUGCUAUGCCUGCUAUGCUUAGAGUCGUGUCAGGUCUGGUUCAUCUGGGUGAUGGCUAGAGUGAAAUGAUUAUGUCGGUAAUGAGAGUGGUGUGGUGAACACGAUUUGGUAAGGGUAUCGAUGAGAGGCCAUGUAGGAGUACAUGGUGGGUUGUUUCAUUGAAGCCGACCUUAAGCACUGAGAUCUGUAUGCGUGAUUUAAGAUACAGCUACUACCAUGCAUUGGGCCCUGAAAUAUGACCCCACUCGACUUCUUAUUCACCCUAGCUCUCUGUCCAGGAGUUGCAAGUAGUUUCUGGUGUUUGUAGCCUACUGGAGGCCGUGGACAGCGCUGACCGUAGGGGUGGGCUGUGAUGCGGUAGGUACGUGGCACAGUGUACCGAAUACCCGUUAGGUAUCUCGGGAACCCUGUUCACAUCGUUCGGGGCCGUAUGGGAAACCUCGGCCGGACUCCCUGCGGAUGGAACCUGAAUAGGCGAUAAACCUGGACUAGAGGCUUAAGUGUUUAGGUAGGUCGUGGUCUACACCCACGUCGGCUUUCGCUUGAAGUCUGCCGAGCACAUGUCGUGUGCAGACGCUAAGUGGUGGAAACAUGUAUGAAGAAGUACACCCCUGCAGGGUUAACAUGAUCUAUUCGAAUAGCCGCGUCCGCGGUAAAGGACUACUUGGUUGCCUAUACAGUUCAUAGACAAGUAAAUGGAAACUACUAAAAGCCUCAAGAUAAGUGUGAGUGCCGAGGAUGGCUCUUCCGUAGGAAGACGGAGGCAGAUCCUCGGUAGUGUAUUGAAUUGGUGAGUAGUGGACUCGUGUGCGAAAAACCAUUUCAAGUUGAAGUAUCGUAGGAUAGUCUAGCCAAGAGACAAAGCUGGCUUGCUGCAAUAACUCCACCAACCCCUCUUGAUAAUAUGCAUGUAUGUAGGAUCUGAUGUAAGUCUUGCUGAGUACCUUUGUACUCAUAUUGCUAUAAUUUACAUUUUUUUCAGAAGACGCUGCAACCCCUUCUGAUGGGAUCUAUGUAGACGUUGACAUCAACGAGUAGGCUAAAGGCCUAGGUGGUGACCCUGAGCUUGUGAAGGACCAUGUAGUAUAGCUAGGCUUUCCAAGCCUCUUUUAUUUUACUAGUUGUCUGUACUCAGACAAGUUACUUCCGCUGCUGGUUUGUAUGACUGUAUGACUUGAAUGUUGGGUCGUGAGACCCGUACCUUUGUGUAUGUUAUGUAUGGCUCCCUGAGCCUUAAAUAAAGUACUUGUGUCAUAGAGUCAUGUUGUGAUGCUUCGUUGUAUUUGCACAUAUCGAGCAUAUUGUGUGUAUGAUUGAAAUGCUUGGUAUGUGUGGGAUCUGACUAUCUAGUUGUUUAUCUUUAGUAGCCUCUCUUACCGGGAAAUGUCUCCUAGUGUUACCGCUGAGCCAUGGUAGCUUGCUACUGCUCUGGAGCACUUAGGCUGGCCGGCAUGUGUCCUUCUUCGUUCCUGUGUCUGUCCCUUCGGGGAAAUGUCACGCUUUGAGUACCGGAGUCCUGUUAGCCCGCUACAGCCCGGCUUACCGGAGUCCUGCUAGCCCAGUGCUACAGCCCGGACCCACUUGCUGAUGACCGACACGUUCGAAGCUGGGUCAUGGAUGCCUGUCCCUGUAAGUCUGUGCCACUUUGGGUUUACGACUAGUCAUGUCAGCCCGGGCUCCUUAUCAUAUGGAUGCUAGCGACACUAUCAUAUACGUGAGCCAAAAGGCGCAAACGGUCCCGGGCAAAGGUAAGGCGACACCCGUGGGGAUACCGUGCGUGAGGCCGCAAAGUGAUAUGAGGUGUUACCGGCUAGAUCGAUGUGACAUCGAGUCGGGGUCCUGACACAAAAAUUCUGUUUUUAUCAUUUACCUACUCGAGGACGAGCAAUAAUUAAGCUUGGGGAUGCUUGAUACAUCUCCAAUGUAUCUAUAAUUUUUGAUUGUUCCAUGAUAUUAUAUUACCCCUUUUGGAUGUUUAGGGGCUUUACUUUACACAUUUAUAUCAUUUUUGGGACUAACCUACUAACCGGAUGCCCAACCCAUUUUGCUGUUUUUUUGCCUAUUUCAGUGUUUCGAAGAAAAGGAAUAUCAAACGGAGUCCAAACGGAAUGAAACCUUCGGGAGCGUGAUUUUUGGAACAAAUGUGAUCCAGAGGACUUGGAGUGCAAGUCAUGAAGCAAUUGAGGCGGCCACGAGGGUGGAGGUACUAGGUGCGCCCCCUAUCUCUUAGGCCCCUGGGGUGUCCACCAACCUACCUUUUCCUCCUAUAUAUACCCACGUACCUUGAGAACAUCAGAGGCAACCACAAAAAACUAAUUCCACCACCGUAACCUUCUGUAUCCGCGAGAUCCCAUCUUGGAGCCUUCGUCGGCGCUCCGUCGGAGGGGGAAUCAACCAUGGAGGGCUUCUACAUCAACACCAUAGCCUCUCCGAUGAGUUGUGAGUAGUUUACCAUAGACCUUCGGGUCCAUAGUUAUUAGCUAGAUGGCUUCUUCUCUAUUUUUGGAUCUCAAUACCAUGUUCUCUCGAUCUUCUUGGAGAUAGGGCUGGAAUUCGAGCCGAGUCGAGCCAUCUCGCCUCGACUCGCUAGAGCUCGUUUCAUUAACGAGCAAGCUCGACUCGACUCGUUACUAUAACGAGCUCCAACCCAAGAUUGGCUUGACUCGUAUAACUCGCGAGCUGGCUCGUUUAGCUUGUUAAGCUCGUUUAAGAUAUAAACAUAAAGCCCUCAAAUAUGAUAAAAAUGAUUAUGUAUAUAGGAGUAUUAAACUUAUAUAUCACUAAACAAUUGUAAUUUUCUUGUAAUGCGUGAAUCUCCUAGGAGGCUAGGCCUUCAACUGCUCAGCCUUGGAUUGUGCGCCUGGGACGUAGGCUGUUUAGUGGCUGAUCUUUCUUUGUAUUAGGAGUGGCUGAUCUACUGUAUCGAGCUUAAUGAGUUACACGAGUAUUCGUGAGAUUGGCUCGUUUAACUUGGUCCAUAAACGAUCUUAAACUAAAGCUCGGCUCGACUCGUUAUUCUUCGAGUUCGAGUCGAUUCGAGCCGAGUCACGAGCUACUUGUUUAGCUCGCGAGCUUCGAGCUUUUUUUUCCAGCCCUACUUGGAGAUCUAUUCGAUGUAACUUUUUUUGCAGUGUGUUUGUCGAGAUCCGAUGAAUUGUGGGUUUAUGAUAAAAUUUAUCUAUGAGAAAUAUUUGAAUCUCCUCUGAAUUCUUUUAUGUGUGAUUAAGUUAUCUUUGCAAGUCUCUUCGAAUUAUCAGUUUGGUUUAGCCUACUAGAUUGAUCUUUCUUGCAAUGGGAGAAGUGCUUAGCUUUGGGUUCAAUCUUGCAGUGUCCUUUCCCAGUGACAUCAGGGGCAGCAAGGCACGUAUUGUAUUGUUGCCAUUGAGGAUAAAAAUAUGGGGUUUAUAUCAUAUUGCAUGAGUUUAUCCCUCUACACCAUGUCAUCUUUCUUAAUGCGUUACUCUAUUCUUUAUGAACUUAAUACUCUAGAUGCAUGCUGGAUAGCGGUCGAUUGUGGAGUAAUAGUAGUAGAUGCAGGCAGGAGUUGGUCUACUUGUCACGGACGUGAUGCCUAUAUACAUGAUCAUGCCUAGAUAAUCUCAUAAUUAUUCGCUUUUCUAUCAAUUGCUCGACAGUAAUUUGUUCACCCACCGUAAUACUUAUGCUAUCUUGAGAGAAGCCACUAGUGAAACCUAUGGCCCCCGGGUCUAUCUCUUAUCAUAUAAGCUUUCAAUCUAUCUUUAUUUGCAUCUUUACUUUUCCAAUCUAUAUUAUAAAAUACCAAAAAAUAUAUUUAUCUUAUCAUAUUAUCUCUAUCAGAUCUCACUUUCGCAAGUGGCCGUGAAGGGAUUGACAACCCCUUUAUUGCGUUGGUUGCGAGUUCUUGUUUGUUUGUGUAGGUGCGUGGGACUUUUGAGGAGCCUCCUAUUGGAUUGAUACCUUGGUUCUCAAAAACUGAGGGAAAUACUUAUGCUACUAUUGCUGCAUCACCCUUUCCUCUUCAAGGAAAACCAACGCAAGCUCAAGACGUAGGAACCACCGCUAUAUUUAAGUUGCCAAGGCAUCUAAACAGUUGAAAUAAUCUGAGAAAGCACUUAACAGUGUGGCCUCAUAUAAACUAUGAAGACAUUCUUAUGAUGAAGUUGAGAGGAAAAGUUAAGGACUCAAAUGAAAUAGGCAUGCAUUUUUUUACGAUAGUACAACAGGCACUGCUGACAUAUUGGCCAACUUAGGUAUAGCGUAACAACAAACAAGCAUUUGAAUCAAGCAAUACAACAAAGCAGACAACUGAACUAUUUGUAAUUCAGUAGGAUUACAGGUUGAGGGCACAAGCCAAGAAAGCAGCCCACUCGCAUUACAUUUCACAUGUACUAAAACACACUGGGUUACCAUAUGUUGCUGUGAAGCCUCGCCGAUGUUGCAAUGUUCUUUGAAGAUAUCGUCAGCAUCCCGUGGUUGCAAAUCUAGUUGUUGUAGUUUAUUCUGCACCCUCUAUUUAGGUAAAAUCUAUUUUAAUCGCAUGCACUGGUCCGAAUAGAUCAUCAAUGGUUCAUCUAAACUAAUGAAAGAAGAGUGUGUGCAUACACGACAAUAUAUCUGCUUCCCUCUAUUUUUAUGAUUGUUCGAGGUGCCAGCCCCAAAAGAACAAAUGUUUUGCUUGAUGGGGUUGGCAGCUCCAUAAUUAAUAGAAGCAUCAAAUUAGUCAUGCAACUUGGGAAGAUCAAGAACACACAAAAAAGUAAUGAACAGAGGCUCGGAGAAGUGAUGUAAUAGCUAGCGUCAUAAAAUGUAGGGUAAAACAAACAAAAAGCAGCGGAACCACAUGCUAGUUUGCUGAUGUGUAAUUAAGCAUAUAGAACAUUAAGCAGUCUGAUGGAACCAACAGGUGGCAUCAGAACAACACCAUUAUCAUAAAUAUAGCAUUCAAGAAGUAAAAUAGUAGGCAGUGAUAUCUAGGAAGUACAGUAAUACUCCCUCCGUUCCAAAAUACUACCUCCGUCAUGGUUUAUAGGUCCCCUUUGUAGUUUGUGCCAAAUUUUGACUAAAGAUUUAACUAACAAAAUGUUAAUGCAUGUCAAGAAAAAUUAUCUCAUUGGAUUCGUAUUUGAACAUAGUUUUUAAAAAUAUAAUGUUUGGUGACAUGCGUGAACAUUUUGUUAGUUUAAUCUAUGGUCAAAAUUUGGCAUGAAAUACAAUGGGGACCAAUAAAACCAGACGGAGGUAGUAGGUGACUCAACUUUGUACUAACUUCAGUACAAAGUUGGGUAAUUUAUUUUGGAACGGAGGGAGUACUUAGGACAAAACUAAAGCAUAUUAACUAUAUGUGCACUGGUAUGUAAUUUAGCACAUGUAACAUGUUCACUGCCAGAAGUAUGGCCCUACAAGUGCAAGCAGAAUAACGCGUCUCAUGAAAAACGGAACGAUGCCCUGAAGAAAUUUAAAGGUGCGGUGCUUAUGCUAGGAAAGUGAAUGUAGGCGCCGGCCGUUGGAUAAUAGUACCUGAUUCUCGGCGGCGUAUGGGUAUCGUUGUCAUACUUGAUAGCUAAGGAUCGUUGAUGGUGCUCAUGUUGCGGUUGAGUUUGGGCCGGCUGUCGUCGUUGCUGAAGCGGCUCCGGUGCUACGGUUGCGGCGCCUGUCGACAUACAAGAAAGCUCAUCUGUGGAAAGUGAACAGUUCCACGAUAAAGAGAAAAACUGAAGGAGUACAAAUCGAAAUAACCUGAUGAGGCUGUGGCAUCGGUAAAGCAGGACCGGUGGAGUUGAAUAUGGCAUCCGUGGAGCGGGUCCGGUGCAGUGGACGAAGGCUUCGGCGGGCGCGUUGUACAGUGCUUUCGGUGAGGCGGAUCUGUUGCAGCGGACGAGGGCUUGUAUGAAGGGCCAGCGAAGGGGCGGACGAGGGAGUUAGUGAAGGGCCUACACUAUGGUGGAAGAGGGCGCCGGUUAAGCAGAUUCGGUGCGGUGGACCAUGAUGGCGGUCAAGGAUAUCUAGAGUGGUGGACAAGCCAGUCACUGAAGCGGCUCCGGUGAAGUGGUGAGUUGGCAGUUGGGGGUUCCAAGGUGCGGAAGGUAGAUCCAGCGGGAUGUGAGGUCCAUCGCUGUAGCGGAGGAUUAGAUUCGGCGGCUUGCCGUGGUUGGGGGGGUCGGGGAGGGGAAGGGGCUCUGUGGAAGAAUGUUGGGGGCAAAGAGGGGAAAACAAUGGAGUUACCAAAGCAGCCCUUUUUCGUUCAUGUGGCAGGGGUAAAACAGGAAUAUCGCAUGGCUAAACUUUCGGGCGUGUGAUAUUUCGAUGUGAGCAGGAAGUUUGAAAGCUUUUGGCGCCUAAAAUUAUAAGUGUUCUGCUCUAAUAUCAUGGCCGACAAUUUGUUUGCUUUGCACGCAAAAAAGUGCAAGUUUUGAAAAUCAGUGUCUCCAACUCGAAAAUUAGAUUGUCCAUUCAAUUCAAAUAUGGAUCAUUGAGCUACUACAAGCAAAUACCAUCAUACAGUCCAAUUCAAAUGAAAUUCCAAAUGUCUUUAUCCUAAAUAUGAUGACAAAAGCAAAAAUGUGUAUGUGUAUGAAUAAAGUGGAUGAUUAUAAAGUUUGAACAUGCCGUAUGUGUAUAUCUCUAGGUUUGAUAUAUGAAUUUGAAAUCAUGAAAUCCCAGCUUAAAAAAUGUACCUCCGUUUAAAUGAAUUACAAAAGCUAAUGAUUGAGUCGAAUUCCAAAAUUCCAAUCUUAGGUUUGUAAUUCUGGUACAUCAAGGUAUAUCACGCAUGUUCAAAAGUAUCGUUAUCUCACAGUCCAAACUGUGAAACAAAUUGAUCAACCAUGAGUGCACAAUAUCUCAAUUACGCUAAAGUCCCUCAAAUAUAGACACCUCACUCUUUAUCUGAAGCCACCCCCCUCGCCCCCCCCACAAACAUAGAGAAGUUGUUCUCUCCCCCAAACACCAACACACGAGCACAUUAACACCCCUCUCUCUUCUAAAGUCCGGACCCCAAUAUAGGUCUCUAUCACUUUGUCUCUCGGCAUGCACACAUCUCUUCCCUCACUCUCUAGGUCUCCCGCUAUCUCUCUUUCCCAACCACACGCACUAUGUAGAGUCUAUAUUUCCCAUACGCACAAAAUGUCGCCCCCAGACGUCUAUCUCCCUAGUUAUGUGGUUCUUGCGCACUCACCUCACACACCACCCUGAUACGUCUCCAAUGUAUCUAUAAUUUUUGAUUGCUCCAUGCUACUUUACCUACUGUUUUGGACUAUAUUGGGCUUUAUUUUCCACUUUUAUAUUACUUUUGGGACUAACCUAUUAACCGGAGGCCCAACCCAGAAUUGCUGUUUUUUACCUUUUUCAGUAUUUCGAAGAAACAGAAUAUCAAAUGGAGUCCAAACGGAAUGAAACCUUCGGGAUCGUGAUUUUCCAACCGAACAUGACCCAGGAGACUUGGACCCUACUCCAAGCAGUGCCAGAGGGCGCGCCCCCUACCUCGUGGGCCCCUCGACGCUCCACCGACGUACUCCUUCCUCCUAUAUAUACCAAUGUAUCUCCGAACGAUCAGAACAGGAGCCAAAAACCUAAUUCCACCGUCACAACCUUUUGUAUCCACGAGAUCCCAUCUUGGGGCCUGUUCUGGAGCUCCGCCGGAGGGGGCAUCCACCACGGAGGGCUUCUACAGCAUCACCAUAGCCCCUCCGAUGAAGUGUGAGUAGUUUACUUCAGACCUUCGGGUCCAUAGCUAGUAGCUAGAUGGCUUCUUCUCUCUUUUUGGAUCUCAAUACAAUGUUCUCCCCCUCUCUCGUGGAGAUCUAUUCGAUGUAAUCUUCUUUUUGCGGUGUGUUUGUUGAGACCGAUGAAUUGUGGGUUUAUGAUCCAGUAUUAUCUAUGGAAAAUAUUUGAUUCUUCUCUGAAUUCUUUUAUGUAUGAUUGAGUUAUCUUUGCAAGUCUCUUCGAAUUAUCCUUUUGGUUUGGCCAACUAGAUUGGUAGUUCUUGCAAUGGGAGAAGUGCUUAGCUUUGGGUUCAAUCUUGUGGUGUCCUUACCAAGUGACAGAAAGGGUUGCAAGGCAUGUAUUGUAUUGUUGCCAUCGAGGAUAACAAGAUGUUGUUUUUAUCAUAUUGCAUGAAUUUAUCCCUCUACAUCAUGUCAUCUUGCUUAAGGCGUUACUCUGUUUUUACUUAAUACUCUAGAUGCAUGCUUGAUAGCGGUCAAUGAGUGGAGUAAUAGUAGUAGAUGCAGAAUCGUUUCGAUCUACUUGUUUUGGACGUGAUGCCUAUAUACAUGAUCAUUGCCUAGAUAUACUCAUAACUAUGCUCAGUUCUGUCAAUUGCUCAACAGUAAUUUGUUCACCCACCGUAGAAUACUUAUGCUCUUGAGAGAAGUCACUAGUGAAACCUAUGGCCCCCGGGUCUAUUCUCAUCAUAUCAAUCUCUAUCACUUUAUUUACUUGCUUUGUUUUUACUUUGCCUUUUACUUUUUACUUUGCAUCUAUCUAUCAAAAAUACCAAAAAUAUUAUCUCUAUCAGAUCUCACUCUCGUAAGUGACCGUGAAGGGAUUGACAACCCCUAAGCGUUGGUUGUGAGUUGCUAUUGUUUUGUGUAGGUAUGAGGGACUUGUGCGUGGUCUCCUACUGGAUUGAUACCUUGGUUCUCAAAAACCGAGGGAAAUACUUACGCUACUUUGCUGCAUCAUCGUCUCCUCUUCGAGGAAAUCCAACGCAAUGCUCAAGAGGUAGCAAGAAGAAUUUCUGGCGCCAUUGCCGGGGAGGCUCACGCAAGCAAGUCAACAAUACCAAGUACCCAUCGCAAUCCCUAUCUCACGCAUUACAUUAUUUGCCAUUUGCCUCUUGUUUUCCUCUCCCCCACUUCACCCUUGCCAUUUUAUUCGCCCUCUCUUUCCCAAUCUCCUACUCUCUUUUCCGUUUGCCUUUUUCCCGUUUGCCUUUUUCCCGUUGCCUUUCUGUUUGCUUGUGUGUUGGAUUACUUGUUGCCAUGGCACAAGAUAAUACCAAAUUGUGUGAUUUCUCGAAUACCAAUAAUAAUGAUUUCCUUAAUACUCCGAUUGCUCCUCUUAAUAAUGGUGAGUUUUGUGAAAUCAACACUGCUUUGCUGAAUCUUGUUAUGAAAGAUCAUUUGCCGGCCUUCCUAGUGAAGAUGCCGCUACUCAUCUAAACAAUUUUGUUGAUUUGUGUGAUAUGCAAAAGAAGAAAGAUAUAGAUAACAAUAUUGUUAAAUUGAAGUUAUUUUCGUUUUCGCUUAGAGAUGGUGCUAAAGUUUGGUUUUCAUCUUUGCCUAAAAAUAGUAUUGAUUCUUGGAACAAGUGCAAAGAUGCUUUUAUCUCUAAGUAUUUUCCUCCCGCUAAGAUUAUCACUCUUAGGAACGACAUCAUGAAUUUUAAACAACUUGAUCAUGAGCAUGUUUCCCAAUCUUGGGAAAGAAUUAAAUUAAUGCUUCGCAAUUGCCCUACUUAUGGUUUGAAUUUAUGGAUGAUCAUACAAAAUUUUUAUGCUGGAUUGAAUUUUGCUUCUAGAAAUCUUUUAGAUUCGGCCGCGGGAGGCACUUUUAUGGAAAUUACGUUAGGGGAUGCUAUCAAAUUACUUGAUAAUAUUAUGUCUAAUUAUUCUCAAUGGCACACCGAAAGAUCUUCUAGUAAAAAAGUGCAUGCUAUAGAAGAAAUCAAUGUUUUGAGUGAAAAGAUGGAUGAACUUGUGAAGAUGUUUUCUCCUAAAAAUACUCCUCUUGUUCCCAAUGAUAUGCCUUUAUCUACUUUGCUUGAGAAUAACAAUGAAUCUAUGGAUGUGAAUUUUGUUGGUAGGAAUAGUUUUGGAAACAACGCUUAUAGAGGGAAUUUUAAUCCUAGGCCUUAUCCUAGUAAUCCUUCUAAUAAUUAUGGAAAUUCCUACAACAACUCUUAUGGAAAUUUUAAUAAGAUGCCCUUUGAAUUUGAGAGUAGUGUUAAGGAGUUUAUGAAUUCACAAAAGAAUUUUAAUACCUUGCUUGAAGAGAAAUUGCUUAAAGUUGAUGAUUUGGCUAGGAACGUUGAUAGAAUUUCUCUUGAAAUUGAUUCUUUAAAGCUUAGAUCUAUUCCUCCUAAGCAUGAUAUCAAUUAGUCUCUCAAAGCCAUGAGAAUUUCCAUUGAUGAGUGCAAAGAAAGAACCGCUAGGAUGCGUGCUUCCAAAGAUGCCUUUAUUAAAGCGUGUUCUUCCAAUUCUUAUGAAAAUCAAGAUGAAGAUCUAAAAGUUAUUGAUGUGUCCCCCAUUAAAUCUUUGUUUUGCAAUAUUAAGCUUGAUGAAACUGAAUAUGAUCUUCCUUUACCUAGAAGGCGUUCUAACAAUUCGGAGUUUCUAGAUCUUGAUGAUGAAAUUGAUGAAAGUGGGAUUGAAAUAAAUAAAAACCAUGAUGUUGCUAAACCCACUAUUUUGGAUCUCAAGGAAUUUAAUUAUGAAAAUUGCUCUUUGAUUGGUUGUAUUUCCUUGUUGCAAUCCGUGCUAGAUUCUCCUCAUGCAUAUAGUCAAAAUAAGGCCUUUACCGAACACAUUGUUGAUGCCUUGAUGCAAUCUUAUGAAGAAAAACUUGAGUUGAAAGUAUAUAUCCCUAGAAAACUCUAUGAUGAGUGGGAACCUACUAUAAAAAUUAAAAUUAAAGAUUAUGAGUUUCAUGCUUUGUGUGAUUUGGGUGCUAGUGUCUCCACUAUUCCCAAUGCUUUAUGUGAUUUGCUAGAUUUCCGUGAUUUUGAUGAUUGCUCUCUAAACUUGCAUCUUGCGGAUUCCACUAUUAAAAAAACCUAUAGGAAGAAUUAAUGAUGUUCUUAUUGUUGCAAAUAGGAAUUAUGUGCCCGUAGAUUUUAUCGUUCUUGAUAUAGAUUGCAAUCCUUCAUGUCCUAUUAUUCUUGGUAGACCUUUCCUUAGAACGAUUGGGGCAAAUAUUGAUAUGAAGGAAGGGAAUAUUAGAUUCCAAUUUCCCUUAAAAAAGGGUAUGGAACACUUCCCUAGAAAGAAAAUAAAAUUACUAUACGAAUCUAUCAUGAGAGCCACUUAUGGAUUGCCUACCAAAGAUGGCAAUACCUAGAUCUAUCCUUGCUUUUAUGCCUAGCUAGGGGAGUUAAACGAUAGCGCUUGUUGGGAGGCAACCCAAUUUUAUUUUGUGUUUUUUGUUUUUGCUUCUGUUUAGGAAUAAAUAAUCCAUCUACCUUAUAUUUGGAUGUGGUUUUAUGUUUUAAUUAGUGUUUGUGCCAAGUAGAACCUAUAGGAUAACCUACGAUGGUAGUUGAUUUGAUUCUGCUGAAAAACAGAAACUUUGCACGCACGAAUUUAGUUAUGAUAAAUCACAUAAACGUGCUUUUGCGUUGAUUCUUUCUGAGUAUGUUCAAUAAACAAAUUUUCCAGGACUUCCUAUUUUGGUAGAAUUUUUAGAGUUCCAGAAGUUUGCGUUAGUUACAAAUUGCUACAGAUUGUUCUGUUUUUGACAGAUUCUGUUAUACGUGUGUUGUUUGCUUAUUUUGAUGAAUCUAUGGCUAGUAAAAUAGUUUAUAAUCCAUAGAGAAGUUGGAAUACAGUAGGUUUAACACAAAUAUAAAUAAAGAAUGAGUUCAUUACAGCACCUUGAGGUAGUCUUUUGUUUUCUUUCUCUAACGGAGCUCACGAGAUUUCUGUUGAGUUUUGUGUUGUGAAGUUUUCAAGUUUUGGGUGAAUUCUUUUGAUGGAUUAUGGAAAAAGGAGUGGCAAGAGCCUAAGCUUGGGGAUGCCCAUGGCACCCCCAAGAUAAUACAAGGACACCAAAAAUUCAAAGAUUGGGGAUGCCCCGAAAGGCAUCCCCUCUUUCGUCCACUUCCAUCGGUAAUUUACUUGGAGCUAUAUUUUUAUUCACCAACAUGAUAUGUGUUUUGCUUGGAGCGUCUUGUAUCAUUUGCGUCUUUGCUUGUUAAUUUACCACAAUCAUCCUUGCUGUACACACCUUUUGAUAGAGCCAUAUAUGAAUUGGAAUUUGUUAGAAUACUCUAUGUGCUUCACUUAUAUCUUUUGAGCUUGAUAGUUUUGCUCAUAGUGCUUCACUUAUAUCUUUUGAGCGUGAUAACUUUUGCUCUAGUGCUUCACUUAUAUCGUUUAGAGCACGGUGGUGGAUUUGUUUUAAAGAAACUAUUGAUCUCUCAUGCUUCACUUAGAUUAUUUUGAGAGUCUUUAAUAGCAUGGUAAUUCGCUUAAUGUUAAUAUACUUAGUGUUCAAGACAUGUGAAACUUUCUUUUGAGUAAAUUGAAUACUAAGAUAAGUUUGAUGCUUGAUAAUUGUUUUGAGAUAUGGAGGUAAUAAUAUCAAAGUCGUGCUAGUUGAUAAUUGUGAAUUUGAGAAAUGCUUGUGUUGAAGUUUGCAAGUCCCGUAGCAUGCACGUAUGUGUAAAGUUGUGUAACAAAUUUGAAACAUGAAGUGUACCUAGCUUGUGCAUCCUUAUCAGUGGCGGUCGGGGACGAGCGAUGGUCUUUUCCUACCAAUCUAUCCCCCUAGGAGCAUGCGCGUAGUACUUGAAUUUUUUUGAUGGCUUCUAAUUUUUUGCAAUAAGUAUAUGAGUUCUUUUGACUAAUGUUGAGUCCACGGAUUAUACGUACUCUCACCUUUCCGCCUUUGCUAGCCUCUUCGGUACCGUGCAUUGCCCUUUCUCACCUUGAGAGUUGGUGAAAACUUCGCCGGUGCAUCCUAACCCCGUGAUACAAUUCGCUCUAUCACACAUAAACCUCCUUAUAUCUUCCUCAAAACAGCCACCAUACCUACCUAUCAUGGCAUUUCCAUAGCCAUUCCGAGAUAAAUUGCCAUGCAACUUCCACCACCAUCAUCAUGACAUACAUUACUUUUGUCAUAUUGCCAUUGAAUGAUCAUGUAGUUGACACCGUAUUUGUGGCAAAGCCACCAUGCAUUAUUUUCCAUACGUGUCGCUCUUGAUUCAUUGCACCAUCCCGGUACACCGCCGGAGGCAUUCAUAUAGAGUCAUACUUUGUUCUAAGUAUCGAGUUGUAAUUAUUGAGUUUGUAAGAAAAAAAAGUGUGAUGAUCAUCAUUAUUAGAGCAUUGUCCCAAGUGAGGAAAGGAUGAUGGAGACUAUGAUUCCCCCAUAAGUCGGGAUGAGACUCCGGACGAAAAAAAAGAGGCCAUGAAAAAAUAAGAGACAAAGGCCCAAACAAAAAAAAGAUUGAGAGAAAAAGAGAGAAGGACAAUGCUACUAUCCUUUUACCACACUUGUGCUUCAAAGUAGCACCUUGUUCUUCAUCUAGUGAGUCUCAUAGAUUGUGCUUCAAAGUAGCACCUUGUUCUUCAUGUAGUGAGUCUCCUAUAUUGUGCUUCAAAGUAGCACCAAGAUCUUCAUGGUAGUGAGUCUCAUAAAUUGUCUUUUUAUACUAGUGGGAAUUUUUCAUUAUAGAACUUGGCUUGUAUAUUCCAAUCAUGGGCUUCCUCAAAAUGCCCUAGGUCUUCAUGAGCAAGCGAGUUGGAUGCACAGCCACUAGUUUUCUUCUGUUGAGCAUUCAUAGCUCUAGUGCAUCCGUUGCAUGGAAAUCCCUACUCCUCAUGUUUACAUAAAUUGAUGGGCAUCUCCAUAGCCCGUUGAUUAGCCUCGUCGAUGUGAGACUUUCUCCUUUUUUGUCUUCUCCACACAAUCCCCAUCAUCAUAUUCUAUUCCACCCAUAGUGCUAUAUCCAUGGCUCGUGCUCAUGUAUUGCGUGAAAGUUGAAAAGUUUGAGAUUAUUUGAUUAUGAAACAAUUGCUUGGCUUGUCAUCGGGGGUAUAGAAGUUGGGAACACCUUUGUGUGACAAAAAUGAAGCAUAGCCUAACCAUAUGAUUUUGUAGGGAUGAACUUUCUUUUGCCAUGUUAUUUUGAGAAGACAUGAUUGCUUUGAUUAGUAUGCUUGAAGUAUUAUUAUUUUUGUGUCAAUAUGAACUUUUGUCUUGAAUCUUUUGGAUCUAAAUAUUCCUAUCACAAUUAAGAAGAUUUUUAUUGAAACUAUGCCAAAGUAUCACUCUGCAUCAAUUUUUUUUAUCAUUUACCUACUCGAGGACGAGCAGGAAUUAAGCUUGGGGAUGCCUGAUACGUCUCCAAUGUAUCUAUAAUUUUGGAUUGCUCCAUGCUACUUUAUCUACUGUUUUGGACUAUAUUGGGCUUUAUUUUCCAUUUUUAUAUUACUUUUGGGACUAAUCUAUUAACCGGAGGCCCAACCCAGAAUUGCUGUUUUUUGCAUUUUUCAGUAUUCCGAAGAAACAGAAUAUCAAACAGAGUCCAAACGGAAUGAAACCUUCGGGAUCGUGAUUUUCCAACCAAACGUGACCCAGGAGACUUGGACCCUACUCCAAGCAGUGCCAGAGGCGGUCACGAGGGUGGAGGGCGUGCCCCCUGGGCGCGCCCCCUACCUCGUGGGCCCCUCGACGCUCCACCGACGUACUCCUUCCUCCUAUAUAUACCUACGUAUCCCCGAACGAUCAGAACAGGAGCCAAAAACCUAAUUCCACCGCCGCAACCUUCUAUAUCCAUGAGAUCCCAUAUUGGGGCCUGUUCCAGAGCUCCGCCGGAGGGGGCAUCCACCAUGGAGGGCUUCUACAUCAUCACCAUAGCCCCUCCGAUGAAGUGUGAGUAGUUUACUUCAGACCUUCGGGUCCAUAGCUAGUAGCUAGAUGGCUUCUUCUCUCUUUUUGGAUCUCAAUACAAUGUUCUCCCCCUCUCUCGUGGAGAUCUAUUCAAUGUAAUCUUCUUUUUGCGGUGUGUUUGUUGAGACCGAUGAAUUGUGGGUUUAUGAUCCAGUAUUAUCUAUGGAAAAUAUUUGAUUCUUCUCUGAAUUCUUUUAUGUAUGAUUGAGUUAUCUUUGCAAGUCUCUUCGAAUUAUCCUUUUGGUUUGGCCAACUAGAUUGGUAGUUCUUGCAAUGGGAGAAGUGCUUAGCUUUGGGUUCAAUCUUGUGGUGUCCUUACCAAGUGACAGAAAGGGUUGCAAGGCAUGUAUUGUAUUGUUGCCAUCGAGGAUAACAAGAUGUUUUUUUUAUCAUAUUGCAUGAAUUUAUCCCUCUACAUCAUGUCAUCUUGCUUAAGGCGUUACUCUGUUUUUACUUAAUACUCUAGAUGCAUGCUUGAUAGCGGUCAAUGAGUGGAGUAAUAGUAGUAGAUGCAGAAUCGUUUCGAUCUACUUGUUUUGGACGUGAUGCCUAUAUACAUGAUCAUUGCCUAGAUAUACUCAUAACUAUGCUCAAUUCUGUCAAUUGCUCAACAGUAAUUUGGUCACCCACCGUAGAAUACUUAUGCUCUCAAGAGAAGCCACUAGUGAAACCUAUGGCCCCCGGGUCUAUUCUCAUCAUAUCAAUCUCUAUCACUUUAUUUACUUGCUUUGUUUUUACUUUGCCGUUUACAUUUUACUUUGCAUCUAUCUAUCAAAAAUACCAAAAAUAUUAUCUCUAUCAGAUCUCACUCUCGUAAGUGACCGUGAAGGGAUUGACAACCCCUAAGCGUUGGUUGCGAGUUGCUAUCAUUUUGUGUAGGUACGAGGGACUUGUGCGUGGACUCCUACUGGAUUGAUACCUUGGUUCUCAAAAACUGAGGGAAAUACUUACGCUACUUUGCUGCAUCAUCCUCUCCUCUUCGGGGAAAUCCAACGCAGUGCUCAAGAGGUAGCAGAGGUAUGCAAGCCAUUCUUCGUUGGCACCGAUCCAUACCUAUAUAUAAGACGGUGGGCAGCGGAGAAAUUACGAGAUGGAAAUGCAAUAACUAAGUACUACAUGAUCAAACUCCAUUACUGACCUGCUCAUCGGACAAAAUUCGACUACCUCUCAACAUUGGCAACUCUAGCGGAGUCAACGUGCAACCAUGGCCAGGGAGCGGUGGACUGUUCAAAGGAUUGUCCUAUAGAAGAACCUUCUCCUCGAGGAUGCAUGGAAGACCAACAAGCAUGGCCUUUUCCCAAGCCUAUUUAAGCAAGCCGCCGCGCUGGGCUUCGCUGCGCUGCCGAGGAUAACAAGAUGGUUGGCCUUAGCGCGGCGCGCGCGAGCAAGCCGCCGCGCUGCCGUGCCAAUCUAGCUAGCAAACCUUGUAGACAAGCAGCUGGACAGAGCUAUCUUGGCUAGCUACCGGCCGCGAGCGACGGACGGAGCUGGCAUCCGGGCUGCCGCAACAUGGGCUCCGCACCGCCGAUGGUUUUGACCUUGCCUUCUUCCGGCGGCGGUAGCUGCGUCCCAUGGCCGAGGAUGACUAGGUAGACAGGCUGGAGGUAGGAGGUCACUCGGAGAUUUUUGUGCAGACUGACAUGUAGGUCCCACAAGUUAUAACGCCCGGUCAAAAGAAGGCGUUGACUUAAUGGGAGACAUGGGCCCUAUCAGAGGUUAGAGUUAGAUUCUAACCCUGAACUAACUCUUACCAAAGGGGCGUUUGGAUGGCAAGGUUAGAUUGACAACAAAUAUAUCCAAACAGGGCCAUGGGUUGAAACGUGCCUAUAACGGCACUUUGUAGAGUAGGCGUUUCUUCGUAGGGCUGGUUGGUAAGAGCAUGUAUAAUGGUUGAUAAGGUAGUCUUGUCUUAAGUCUGCCACGUAUGCAAGUGGUAGUAGUUUCUUGGCAUUUUAGUGCUUUCUUGCAUUAUUAGGGGUUUCUUGUAAGGAAUAAUGUACGUACUACUAGCGACAAAAGGCGAUUCUAGGUUGUGUUGUACUCCAACGAGUACUACUAGUGGUCGCGGGAGUGUAUACCUCGUUUUGUGGGUUCGAUCCUGGCCAAAUGCACGGCGGCCUUUUUUUUAAUAGUAACUUCGCUGCGAGCCAAUAUUUUACAUGGGUAGUUUGAGUUUUGAAGUCAAACGGGCGUGCGGCACCACAAUCUGGGUGCACUGGAUAGCCUAGCCACGUGAACGGGUUUUCCUUACCAGCAUCCCGUGGCUCGCGUUCUCUCCCUAGCCGCACCUCGCUUGCAGCUUCCUCUUCAUCUAGUAGCAUAUUUAAACUAGCGCCGCCCAAUUAAGCCCGAGGAGCCGGAAAAGCCUGGCGGGGCAUUGGGAACUGUGCAAUAUGGCUUUGUACGUAAAGUGCUCUACUACUACUCUGUAGCUUGUGGCGUUGCACGCAUGGAAUUCACUCCAUUAUCGGCUCUACUAUAAAAGAAAUUCCUCUUGACGUGUUUUUUUGAAACGGAGGCAAAAGCUUUGCUUCAUCUCAUUCAUAAAGAAGGAACUACUAACAAAGUUCGACGAGAUCUAUUACACCUCCACAAAUGGAAGCGAAAAGGCUAGUCUCGUUGUAUCAAAUAACUCAAAUGUUCUGCCCCCAUAGUAACCGUCGCUGAUAAACAGGCUGCUAGUGUGUGCGUGAGAGGAGCGGCUGAGUAGGCCAGCUACAUGAGAGGAGCGGCUGAAUAGAGCACCGAGAGUACCCACUAGGACACUACGCAGGUGUACUUUCCCUGCAUUGAUAGUACAGCGAUGGUUCUAGAGAACAGUAGUACCCUCCACUUCCAACUGUAGCUCCUUGGCGCUGAGAUUUAAGAGUUCAAAACGGGUGCACUAUACUAGACUAGACUAGAAGUACAGUACAUCGCACUACUAGUUGAGAAAAAGUAGUACUAGUACUUCUACAGUACGAGUACGUACUCCUCCGUCACAUAAUGUAAGAGGUUUUUUGACAUUAAUUGGCGUGUACAAAAAACAGCAAAAACAUACACAAAAUUUCUUAAUCCACGCCAAAAACUACUACCUAGUGCCAAAAAUUUCUUACUAGUGCUAUUAUUUAUAGUAUAAUGCAAUCCCAUAACGUUCCAUAAUGCUAGUACUAGUAGUAAAUAGUAGCCUCAACCCUUCGCUAAGGAACGAUCUACAGUUGGAAGGGACGAGGCCCUGCGGUUACUACGCUCUUAUCUCCUCCUCGCCAGUUCCCCUCCCAGGCGGUUCUCCUCCUCGUCGGGGCUGGGAGACCUUGGACGACGAUCCUCUGGGAGAAAUCGCAUGCCACUCCGACGUCCUCACCGCCGCAAGACUCGGUGCUUCCUACACCAACUUUUUCAAGACGGUGCUUAAACAGGCUUGGGAAAAGGCCAUGCUUGUUGGUCUUCCAUGCAUCCUCGAGGAGAAGGUUCUUCUAUGAGACAAUCCUUCGAACAGUCCACCGCACCCUGGCCAUGGUUGCAUGUUGACUCCGCUAGAGUUGCCGAUGUUGAGAGGUAGUCGGAUUUUGUCCGAUGAGCAGGUCAGUAAUGGAGUUUGAUCAUGUAGUACUUAGUUAUUGCAUUUCCAUCUCGUAAUUUCUCCGCUGCCCACCGUCUUAUAUAUAGGUCUGGGUCGGUGCCAACAAAGAUUGGCUUGCAUACCUAUGCUACCUCUUGAGCACUGCGUUGGAUUUCCCCGAAGAGGAGAGGAUGAUGCAGUAAAGUAGCAUAAGUAUUUCCCUCAGUUUUUGAGAACCAAGGUAUCAAUCCAGUAGGAGACCACACACAUGUCCCUCGUACCUACACAAAACGAUAGCAACUCCCAACCAAUGCUUAGGGGUUGUCAAUCCCUUCAUGGUCACUUACGAGAGUGAGAUCUGAUAGAGAUAAUAUUUUUGGUAUUUUUGAUAGAUAGAUGCAAAGUAAAAAAGUAAAGGCAAAGUAAAAACAAAGCAAGUAAAUAAAGUGAUAUAGAUUGAUAUGAUGAGAAUAGACCCGGGGGCCAUAGGUUUCACUAGUGGCUUCUCUCAAGAGCAUAAGUAUUCUACGGUGGGUGAACAAAUUACUGUUGACCAAUUGACAGAAUUGAGCAUAGUUAUGAGUAUAUCUAGGCAAUGAUUAUGUAUAUAGGCAUCACGUCCAAAACAAGUAGAUCGAAACGAUUCUGCAUCUACUACUAUUACUCCACUCAUCGACCGCUAUCCAGCAUGCAUCUAGAGUAUUAAGUAAAAACAGAGUAACGCCGUAAGCAAGAUGACAUGUAGAGGGAUAAAUUCAUACAAUAUGAUAAAAACCCCAUCUUGUUAUCCUCGAUGGCAACAAUAUAAUACGUGCCUUGCAACUCUUUCUGUCACUGAGUAAGGACACCGCAAGAUUGAACCCAAAGCUAAGCACUUCUCCCAUUGCAAGAACUACCAAUCUAGUUGGCCAAACCAAAAAGGAUAAUUCAAAGAGACUUGCAAAGAUAACUCAAACUCAAUCAUACAUAAAAGAAUUCAGAGAAGAAUCAAAUAUUUUCCAUAGAUAAUACUGGAUCAUCAACCCACAAUUCAUCGAUCUCAACAAACACACCACAAAAAGAAGAUUACAUCGAAUAGAUCUCCACGAGAGAGGGGGAGAACAUUGUAUUGAGAUCCAAAAAGAGAGAAGAAGCCAUCUAGCCAGUAGCUAUGGACCCGAAGGUCUGAAGUAAACUACUCACACUUCAUCGGAGGGGCUAUGGUGAUGAUGUAGAAGCCCUCCGUGGUGGAUGCCCCCUCCGGUGGAGCUCCGGAACAGGCCCCAAGAUGGGAUCUCAUGGAUACAGAAGGUUGCGGCGGUGGAAUUAGGUUUUUGGCUCCUGUUCUGAUCGUUCGGGGAUACGUAGGUAUAUAUAGGAGGAAGGAGUACGUCGAUGGAGCUCCGAGGGGCCCACGAGGUAGGGGGCGCGCCCAGGGGGCGCCCUCCACCCUCGUGACCUCCUCGGAAACUUCUUGGAGUAGGGUCCAAGUCUCCUGGAUCACGUUCGGUUGGAAAAUCAUGAUCUCGAAGGUUUCAUUCCGUUUGGACUCCGUUUGAUAUUCUGUUUCUUCGAAAUACUGAAAAAAGGCAAAAAACAACAAUUCUGGGCUGGGCCUCCGGUUAAUAGGUUAGUCCCAAAAGUAAUAUAAAAGUGGAAAAUAAAGCCCAAUAUAGUCCAAAAUAGUAGAUAAAGUAGCAUGGAGCAAUCAAAUAUUAUAGAUACGUUGGAGAAGUAUGUCGGUGUACUAGAAUAGGGGUACCCUAGUACCCCGAACUUGUGCACGGGCAGUUGCAGCACCCCGCGACAAGGCUUGCCGGGCGAACGCCAAGAUCCUCCAAGGUUCCCUUGGAGCCAUUCAAGAACAAAGUAUUUAAGCUCAGGAGACAAGGCCCCGGCAAGAGGAGCUUGCCAGGAAGGCCAACCGAGGCACUCCAAAGAACUUGCCGCGACGUGCCACACGCUCCGGCAAGGCAACAAGGCCCCGGCAAGAGGAGCUUGCCGGGAAGACCAAACAAGGUACCUCGAGGCCCGGUGAGCGACAAGCUUCCGGACCCGACAAGAUAACAACAGCGGCAAGGCGCUUGCCGCGGCAGGCGGCCACUCUGUGCCCAUGCUCCAGCACAUCCACCAACGUGUCGCUCUGGGGGCCUCUCCAGGCGCGCGUGGCGGGAGGCUGUGCAGCCAGCGGUGCGCAGUGGCAUGCGAAGCUGACAAGAUCGCCAUCAUGGCGAAUGGUGGCGCCCCUAACGGUCCUUUUCUGCACUGUUUGGGGGACUCAGACGGGCCUUUAAUGCCCUUGUCCCCUGCCGUCAGGGUUAGGUAGGGUGCACUGUACAAGUAACUGUACCAACCACCCCACUUUUUACAUUUGUACCCUUCUCUGCGUUGCCACCUGUUGGUGACCCCUUUAGAGUAUAAAAGGAGGCCCAUUCGCAACAUAGAGGGGGUUCGUUUCGGUUCGACUCAUUCAUAACCCAGAAAGACACUACGCUCUCGGGCUAGAGCAAGAACAGAAUAGAACCAGACAAGCAGCAGUAGGAGUGUUAUCUCUCCGGAGAGCUCCAAAGCUGGGUAAACUGCUCGUGUGCUUCGCCUCGAUCUGCUCUUCGUGCGAUCUCCGCCCCCCGCCGAACCGAAAGGGGCCGGGUCCGCCGGCCCCAUAGGUGUUCGAGGAUCAGUUUCCCCGACAUCUUUGGCGCGCCAGGUAGGGGGCGUCGAGAUUGUGUGAACCUGAUCCGGCGUUCGCACGAGCUAGAUCUUCAUUCCCUUCAUCAACAUGCCACCGAAGAAGAAGACUUCGGCGGCAGCCGCUCCGUCCACAUCACUUCCGCCACCGUUGGAGCAAACGGGUGGUGGAAUGGACGCCGGCGGAAGAAUGGACGUCGACGAGGAAGCUCAUGAUGCCUCCAGGUCCAAAGACAAGGCUGCACAAACCUCGGCGACUGUACAUGUUCCGCGCCACUCUCAGGAGGCGCAAGAUCAACAGCGUCAUGGCACUCGCAGUGCCAUACGCGUGAUAGGACAAGACCAAGCUGGUGGAUCUCGGGGCGCUCAAGACCAGCAUGCACGCCAGCAUGUUGGCACGAGCGGGGCACGGUCGCCUGGACGGGAUACUGCUCCUUCUAACAUAGUUAGAAGUUCGAGCACGUCCCGCUCCUCGCGUCGUCCGCCACUACCACCCACCACUCCAGCAGAAGCUUUGGCGCGAGCUCAACUUCUCCUAGAUUACCCUCCGACGUCGGACAAGAUCGACGAAUGGAGGGCCACGAUUCAGAGUCUCAUCGGCUACGCCAACGGCGACACUCCACGGCGGCCGAGCGCGUCGCUGCCGCGGCAGGGUUGCCGGGCGCGAGCCGGUGACGACGAAACGGGUGGAGGUGCAACUACCAUGCAAUCACCGCCCGGAAGGCCAAGAUCGCCGACUCGCCGGAUCCACCUCGACAGCGACUCCACUGCAUCUUCGGAUCCACGAGCUCAUCGCGAUCAGCGCCAAGUCCUUCAUGAUCGGCAACAAGAAGAUGCUCGAACUCGCAUUGAGCACCAAAGAGAAGCGCGACGUCAAUCCGACAAGCGCGCUGGGCCCUCUGAUGACAUGCAUGCGCCAGGGGAACCAGGCGAUCUGCCGUAUGCGGUAGGUUGCCCUGUGUUCACUCGUGAGCUGCGGCAAGUCCAGUGGCCCAGCACGAAAAACUUCAAGCCAGACGUACCAGAGAAGUACGACGGCAAGACGCAUCCGUCAGAGUUCCUCAGCAUCUACACCAUCGCGGUGCAGGCUGCCGGGGGACGGGAUGACAAGAUCCUUGCCAACUACUUCCCGCUGGUGCUCAAGCCCAACGUCAGAUCUUGGCUCAUGCACUUGCCGGACAACUCAAUAUCCUCUUGGGCUGAUCUGUGCCAUCAAUUCGUCGGCGCCUUCAUAGGCGGACACAAGCCUCAUUGCCAGGAGAGUGAUCUUCAUCUGCUCGCCCAGAAGGAAGGAGAGCCCCUGCGCAAGUACAUUCAGAGAUUCAGCAGUGUGCAGCACAACAUCCCAGACGUCCACCCUGCCGCGGUGAUCACCGCGUUCCAUCAGAACGUGCGGAACCGCGAAAUGCGGGAGGAAAUGGCGAUGUGCAAGAUCAGGGACAUCAGUGAGUUAUAUGCAGUGGCCGACAAAUGUGCAUGUGCUGAGGAAGGGAGGAGACUCCCCGGAGAGAAUGUAGGAGCGGGAGGAUCUGACAGUGAGGAUGCUACCCCGCCAAGGAAAAACCGGCGGUGGAACAACAGAAGGAGGAAAGGCAAAGAGGUGCUAGUUGUUGAGCAGUCCGGCAACGGUGGUGGCGCCAAGGAAGCCAAAGCUGGUGACUCCGGCAAGGAGGUUGCCGCAGAGGUGGCGGUCACUGACAAGCAGGACGGCACCAACAAGCAGUAUUGCAAGAUCCACCGCACCAAGGGCCAUGAUCUCCAGAACUGUAAGAAAGUCGAGCAGCUUGUUGAGCAACAGAAAGCUGAAUACGAGCGGCGCGACAAGGAGAAGGCCCAGGAAGGUGCUGGGGGAUCCGGCAAGAAACGUCCCGGCCGAGGAGGACGCCGUGGCAAGGCCAAGCAGCGGCAAGGAGACAUACCUCCCCGCGGCCGUGACGAUGAUGAAGAUGACAACGACGAUGAAGACAUGGAUGACGAGGAGACUGAUGAGCAGGAGUUCCAGAAAGCCACAGAGGUCCUGUGCGUUGACGGUGGUGCUUCUCUGCAUACAUCGCACCGUCAGCUCAAGAAGUGGGUGCGGGAAGUUAAUGCAGCAGAACCACCCAUCGAGUCACGCAAGCCUUUGAAAUGGUCCGGCACGCCUAUCAUCUUGAUAUUGAGGACCACCCGGAUCGCAUAACUGCGGUCGGGUGCUUGCCGAUGUUGGUUUCACCAACAAUCCGCAACCUCAAGGUCACUAAGAUGCUAGUUGACGGCGGGGCCGGCUUGAACCUGGUCUCCUCCGCGGUGCUCCAGAAACUCCAGAUCCCCGACAGCGAGCUCGAAGAGACCGGUACAUUUCAAGGAAUCAACCCGGGAAGGAGCAAGCCGAAGGGAAAGAUCACGUUGCCGCUAACAUUUGGCAGCGGACUGAACUUCAGGACUGAGAGGGUCACAUUUGAUGUAGCCGACUUUCCAUUACCUUACAAUGGAAUCCUUGGCCGUCCGGCACUCGCCAAGUUCAUGGCAGCCUCUCACUAUGCGUACAACAUACUGAAAAUGCCAGGCCCGAUAAGUGUCAUCUCUGUCCCUGGCGAUAAGAAGGAUGCUCUUAUCUGUGCCGACAAGAUCUACUGGGAAGCAGCAGCCGCAGCAGAACGCAAGACACUUGCCGCUGAAGCUCCCGGGGGGAAGAAGAAGACCAAGUCCGGCAAGAGCUCUGAUGCCCACUCCGGCAAGCGCACCUCUUCGGAGUGCUGCGCUACCGUCGAGGACGCACCAUCGAGCUCCACCGGCAAGUAUAAGAAGGCAAUGGCAGCUCCACCUGAGACCAAGAAGGUGUCCGCCAAGGAGGAUGGCGCUGGUGGUACCUUCACCAUCAGCGCCACUCUUGACCCCAAAUAGGAAAGCGCGCUCGUUGCUUUCCUGCGGGCGAAUGUCGACGUGUUUGCAUGGCAACCGUCUGAUAUCCCCGGUGUUCCCAGGAAAGUAAUUGAGCACCACCUUGCCGCCUGUCCUCAUGCAUGGCCCGUCAAGCAGAGAGUCAGGAAGCAGGCAGUGGAGCGCCAAGAAUUCAUCGCAGAAGAAAUCAAGAAGUUGGAAGCAGCAGGCCUUGUCAGAGGAGUGCUCCAUCCCACGUGGUUGGCCAAUCCUGUUGUUGUGCGCAAGGCUAACGGGAAAUGGAGACUUUGUAUUGACUUCACUGAUGUUAAUAAAGCUUGUCCCAAAGACCCAUUUCCCUUGCCGCGCAUUGACCAGAUUGUUGACUCCACAGCCGGAUGUGAUUUGCUUUCAUUUCUUGAUGCAUACUCAGGAUACCAUCAGAUCUUCAUGGCAGAAGAGGAUGAAGAGAAAACCGCAUUUAUCACCCCGUGUGGCACGUACUGCUUCGUACGGAUGCCUUUCGGUUUGAAGAAUGCUGGUUCAACAUUCGCAAGGGUAGUCCACCACGCUUUUGAGCCGCAAAUGCAUAGAAAUGUGGAAGCUUACAUGGAUGACAUAGUGGUCAAGAGUAAGAACAGGGCGACCCUGAUUCAAGAUUUAGACGAGACAUUUGCAAAUCUGUGCAAGAUCAACCUCAAGCUUAACCCCGAGAAGUGCGUGUUUGGAGUCCCUUCCGGCAAGCUUCUCGGGUUCUUCGUGUCUCAGCGGGGAAUUGAAGCCAAUCCCGACAAGAUCAAGGCCAUUGAGCAGAUCGAAGCACCAAAGCGCGUCAAGGAUGUGUGAAGGCUUGCCGGUUGCGUGGCUGCUCUCAGCAGGUUUAUCUCUAGAUCUGCUGAGCGCGCCCUGCCAUUUUUCAAAAUUUUGAAAAAGGCAGGUCCAAUGAAAUGGACUCCGGAGGCGGAGGCUGCGCUGCAGGACUUGAAGAAAUACCUGUCCUCCACUCCAACACUUGUCGCACCUAAGCCGCAAGAGAAGUUGCUGCUGUAUAUAGCGGCAACCAAUCAAGUGGUUAGUGCUGCGUUAGUGGCGGAGAGAGAGGCGGAUGAUGAGCUAGCAACCACGGCACACGCAUCCAACGACAAGCAGGGGGCUUCACCGACAAGCUCUGGUCCCGACAAAGAUGGAUCUGUGCAGGAGCAUGAUAAGAUGCAGAAGACAAUGGUGCAGCACCCAGUUUACUUUGUCAGUUCCCUUCUGCAGGGGGCUAGAUCAAGGUACUUUGGUGUGCAGAAGUUGCUUUUCGGCCUCCUCAUGGCCUCGAGAAAGCUGCGCCAUUACUUCCAAGCACAUGAAAUCACAGUCGUCACUUGCUUUCCGCUGAAGAGGAUACUGCAAAAUCCAGAAGCAACAGGCAGGAUUGUUGAGUGGGCGUUGGAACUGUCAAGCUUUGGCCUCAAGUUUGAGAGCACUUCAACUAUCCAAAGCAGAGCAUUGGCAGAGUUCAUAGCAGAGUGUAUGCCAACCCCAGAUGAAGAAAUUCCAGAGACGAGCAUCCCCGUCAAAGAGGCAAGCAGAGAGUGGCUGAUGUACUUUGAUGGUGCCUUCUCGCUGCAAGGCGCUGGUGCAGGCAUGCUACUUGUCGCACCCACCGGAGAGCACCUCAAAUACGUAGUCCAGAUGCACUUUCCCAAGGAGCAAGCAAACAACAAUACUGCAGAGUAUGAAGGAUUGCUUGCCGGUCUCAGAAUCGCAGCAGACCUUGGGAUCAAGAAGCUCAUUGUCAGGGGUGACUCACAACUUGUCGUCCGCCAUGUGAACAAGAACUACCAGAGUCCAUUGAUGGAAGCAUAUGUUGAUGAAGUGAGGAAGCUAGAAGAGCACUUUGACGGCCUACAGAUGGAACAUAUCCCGAGAGCUCAGAAUGACAUUGCUGAUGGCCUGUCAAAGUGCACCGCACUAAAGUUACAUGUGGAACUAGGGAUCUUUGUGCUCAAGUUGACUCAACCAUCCGUAACACCCUCAACUGGACAAAGCAAGAAGAGGAAGUUGGUUUCUGGCGACUACUUUCCGGCAGAGCUCCCCGAAGCCGCCGCCAAGAAAGUCCCCAAGAUCAACACCAAGAAUGCUGAGGGGCAGUCUGCUCCGGCAAACCUUAUGGUUUAUUCCGUUGAAGCAGACGCUCCCGACAAGUUUUGCUCCGGCAAGCUUGCCGGGGAACAUCAAGCUCCGACAGGGCCGCAAGUCCUUGCCGUAGAAGCGGAUGUUCCCACAGCAGCAGAUGUGCCUUUAGUCCUUGUUGUCGAGCCACAAGCUCCAGCAUGGGCACAGCAGAUUGUCCAUUUCCUUCAGACAGGAGAACUUCCCGAAGAGCAAGAAGAAGCGGAAAGAGUAGCCCGGCAGUCAAGUAUGUACCAGUUUGUCGAUACCAUACUGUACAGAAGAAGACUCAACGGUGUGAAAUUGAAGUGUAUUUGCCGGGAAGAUGGACAAAAGCUGUUGGCAGAGAUACAUGGAGGCAUAUGUGGCCACCACAUAGGCGCAAGGGCACUUGCCGGCAAAGCUUUCCGGCAAGGCUUCUUUUGGCCGACAGCCCUCCAGGAUGCAACUGCACAAGUAACCAAGUGUGAAGCAUGCCAGUUCCACUCCAAACAGAUAUACCAGCAGCUCAAACUCUCCAGACGAUCCCUUUAUCCUGGCCAUUUUCGAUCUGGGGGCUCGAUAUCCUUGGCCCUUUCCCCCGAGCUGUCGGGGGCUUUGAGUACUUGUACGUCGCAAUCGACAAGUUCACAAAGUGGCCGGAAGUGCAACCAGUGAGGAAGGUGACAGCACAGUCAGCAGUCAAGUUCUUCUGGUCAAUUGUUUGCCGUUUCGGGAUCCCUAACAAGAUCAUCACCGACAACGGCACGCAAUUCACGAGCCGCACCUUCAUGCAGUACGUCCAAGACCUUGGCGCCAAGGUCUGCUUCGCUUCUGUUGCUCAUCCGAGAAGCAACGGUCAAGCAGAGAGGGCAAAUGCUAAAGUGCUGCGUGGGCUCAAGACCAGAACUUUCGACAGGCUGCGCAAGUGCGGAAGAAACUGGAUCGAGGAGCUGCCGGUGGUUCUUUGGUCGAUCAGAACGACGCCAAAUCGAGCCACUGGCCAGACACCUUUCGCUCUAGUCUACGGAGCAGAGGCAGUUCUCCCCACGGAACUCGUAUAUGGAUUGCCUCGAGUGCUCGCUUAUGAUGAGUUUGAGCAAGAGCAGCUGCGACAAGAUGACGCGCUGCUCCUUGAGGAAGAUCGUCUUCAAGGCUGCUGUACGAGCUUCUCGAUACCAGCAAGCUUUGCGCCGCUACCAUAGCCGCAAAGUUAAGGCCAGAAGCUUCGAGGAAGGCGACCUUGUUCUUCGGCGCGUUCAGUCCGCCAAGAAUUCCAACAAGUUGACGCCGAAGUGGGAAGGCCCUUAUCGGGUGAAACGAGUCACAAGGCCCGGUGCUGUCCGCCUUGAGACCGAAGAUGGCAUUCCGGUGAGCAACUCCUGGAACAUAGAACAUCUUUGUAAGUUUUUCCCGUACAGAACCCCGUUUCGGCAACCACCUUUUGUACAAGUCUUGCCGCUGUUGCAUGUAAUCCUUUGUACAAAGCCGGGCGCAGAUCCCGUGCAGAAAAAGAACCCCAUGUGCUCCGCACAACUUGUCCAUUUCAUGCAUUAGUUUCUUUCUCGCAUGCGUUAUCUGACACUUUGUGCAGCACCUACAUCCGGUAAGCAGUAACGAGCCGAAGGGCUCCAUAUCGUUAUUUUCUCUUCUUUCUUCUUUUUCAACAAAGGAAAAGAAGGUUCCCUCGCACACAUGUUUGUCGGGGAGGAAGGAGAAGAUUGUGGUAUGGACCAGGCAUCGUUCAAGCGAAGUCUUGCCUUGCCGGGAAACAAACGACAGAAAAGCUAAGUUGCCAAAGUUUGAGCAAUCAGUUUUUAAAUUUUUGAGUUAUCUUCCUCGAACGACCCUGCUUUGUACGGAAAACCUGUGCGCGGAGGAACCAACUCGUGGCUAGUUGCGCCCUUACUUUGUUUCGAGUCCGCUCAACAGCUUAAGUGUGCUGCAUCUAGUCGCGACAAGGUUUCUUGUCGGAAGCAACGCCGCCAGCAGGCUGCUGAAGUUCUGCACUCAGCGCUCGCGGCUCGGGUGCCUGCGCCGACAAGUUCCCUGGAAGCGUAGGGUAAAAACAUACAAAGGAAGGAAUCUAGUAGAGGAAAUAACAUAGCAAUUGAUAACAGAAAUAAAGUUAUAUUACAAGAUAACUUGUCGCAGCUCUAACAGAAUAUUUUCAUAACAUGAUUAGCAGCGGCAAGGGAAAAGAAGAAAUGGACGGCCUAUUCUACGCGUCCGCCCUCGACUCUCUUGAUCUCGCUCACCUUGUCCACAAUGGGGGUGACAAGGGCCUUGAGUGCAUCCAGAUCGGCGUCAGGCGGCAAGGACCUGAGGACGUUGGUGAAGCUGAGGCCUGGAUUGCGGAAGGCCACCUUCAUCAGCACCUUCUGGAGAACCCCGGCGCAGAUUUUGCGCGACUCGUUGGCCAGCUGCUUCAGGAUCCUCUCCCGGAGCCGGUGGAGUGCCGUCGCCACGCCCUUGAAGAACAGGCUGAGCUUGGCGCUGGGUUGAAGACUCUCGUCGGAAGGAUACCCAAAGUCCUCCAUCCCCAGCUGCGCCAGCUCCUCGUUGAUGACUGCGGCAAUGUUCACCAGACCCUCGGUCUAGUGCUCCACAGUGUCUCUGAACGAGUUCUGGGUAACUGCAAUGCUCUCCAGCAGCGCCACGUCAGCCUUGACCUUCUCCGACAAGGUCUUCUCCCGCUCCUUGGCGACCUCCAGCGUCUGCGUCAGUGUGGCCAGCUUCAGCUCCAGGUCUGCUUUGGAAUCCUUGGCGGCGCUGAGCUCCUUGCCCCUCUCAGCGAGUAGACCUUGCAGCUCACCGUGGGCGGCAGCAUCCUUCUCACGCUCACGCUUGAGCGCGGCAAGCUCCCCGCCGCUCUUCCCAAUGUCGGCCUCCAGCUGUGCCACCUUCUCCUCCAGCUCUUUCUUGGCGGCCUCUGCAAUUGUCGCAGUGUCCUUUGCCUCCUUGAGCGCCCCGCCAAGUGCUUGCUCGCGCUCGGCGAGCUCUUCCUCGUAGCUGUCGAGGUUGGCCUUCCGCUGCACUAGUUCACCUUCCCGCGUGGACUGCUUCUCGGCGGCCAGCCUUUGCUCCUCCUCAGCUUCGGCCUUCUCGAGAAGGAAGGCCGUGCGCUCCUCGUCGAGUCGCUCCCGCUCCUGCACCAGGGACCGGAGAGCUUCUCGAUUGUGGCCCCGGAGCUCCUCCGCGCGCUUCUCCAUGUCAACUCCCGCCUUCGCGACAAGCGCUUCCUGGGAAGCCACCUUGGCUUGCCGGGCGCGGUAGAGUGACAGCAGCUUCCGCAGCAGCUGCUCCUCCUCAGGCUCGCCGCUGCUGCUGCUGGGCACGUCGACCAACAACAAUCCAGCAGAGGCGAGCACCUCCCCAUCGAAAGUUUCCCCCUCGACCGGCGCCCUGGAGCUCGACGCCCAGGGUAGCUUGAUGAAGAUAUUGUCGCCGGCCUUCAAGUAGGUGCCGGGCUGGGGCUCCUUGGAGCCUGGCUCCACAGAAGCGGCAGAGGGAUCGGCGGUCGGCGCAGCACCUGGCGCUCCUGCGGCCACAGGGUCGUCAGUGCGAUCGCCCGACCCCUCGCCGGCUUCUGCAGCGGCAGCCCUGGCGGCCUCCUCGCCGGCGGUCUCAUCAGCAUCGGCCCUUUCCUCGCCGGCGCCCUCUAUCUCCAUUGGCUCAGUAGCAGAGGGGUCUGAAGAACGAAGAAGGGAGAAAAAUCAAUCAAAAAUCCAAGAGAAGAAAAUCAGAAGAAGAAGAACCCAAGGGAAAGUUUUUGGACAAGUGAAUUACCUGUGCCAAGAUCUGUAGUUGCGGUCUCGGUCGCCGCAGGAUCGACGGUGCUAUCCCUUGCCGGAGAGCGCUCCCUUACCGGAACCCCUCCCUUGGCGGCGUAGUCGAAGCAGAUGGCACUUCGGGACCAGCUUCCGGGCGCUCCUGAUGUGGCUGCUCUGCUCCUACACAAAUCAACAAGCAAGAUAUCAACAGAGGAAAAAACACUCAAGCGCUCCCGGCAGCAGAAGGCUAAACUAUGAACUUACGCUGGGGGCUGCGCUGGGGGCUGCUUUGAGGAGUGAUUGCCGGGUCCGUCAAGGUGGUCUCAGACCCACCUCCUGCUGACACGAUGGGGUCAUCCUCGAUGAUGAUCACCGCGGCCUUGGCCCUCUUCGCCGCUCUCUGGGCCAGCGUCCUGAAAAGAAAGGAGUCCAGAUUGGAGCAAGUCAGAUACAAGAUAUAAACAGCAAGAUUGAAGAACUACAAGAGCACCAAAGAAACUUACUCUUCUUCCUCCUCGUCGGAGCUGAGCACAGAAAGAUCGAAGUCCGGCCCUCCUCCGGUGCGGCGAGGCAGAGGAGUAGGAUCCCUUGCCCGCUUGGCAGGGGCGGUGGCGGUGGCCCGGGAAGAUCCCGCUCCAGUUGCCGCUGUUGCGUGAGGCGCUCCCGCGGCAACAUUGCUUGCCGCGGUAGAGCGCGUCGCACGGCUCGGCGGCUGUUGACCCGGCUGCCGCCCCGCUGCGUCCCCGGCCCUGCGAAGGCACCUUCUUGGCGGGGCCGGGGGCUCCGCCUGCGGCAAGUUUUCUGAAGGCUCGGGCUCCUCCUCGCCGGCAUCGCUCGGCUCGGCUUUGGAACCGGCAGGCUCCUCCUCGCCAAUGAACUCCGCGCGCUCGGCAAGGUUUGCCGCCUCCGCAGCCUCCGCCUCCUCCACAGUGAACCCAAACACGCCCGCGGCAGCUGCGGCCGCAACCUCUUCCGCCCUAGUGGCGAUGCGCUGCAGCUCCUCGUCGGUGGUGUCAUGGGUGAGGCUCUUCUGCUUGUCUGCAUGGACCGACACUUCUUCCAAGUUGUCAAAGAACGCUUGCAGACGUCAUCCACAGGCUCUUGCCAAGUUGGAAUGAUUCCGUGUGAAUCACACAACGGCAUCAUGGCGCGGAUCCGGUCAAGCGAAGAAUUGUUGCAUAAUGGGACAACGCCCCUCGGCAGCGUGAAUGGGUGCUGGGGGUCGCGUUUGAACAACUCCAGGAGCAUUGCAUCCAGCUCCAAGACGGUGAAGUUGUAGUUGAGGCCCGGCCGCAGCCUCAUGAUGUCCGCCGAGUUCUUGAAUUCCCAGGCGGGCCUCCCCCUCUCCUGCAGGGGGGCGAUGCGGCGGCGGAGGAAAUCUGCGCCUACAGCGCCUACAGUGAGCCCGGCAAGCCUGAGGCUAAGGAUCCUAGUAAUGGCGAUCUUCAGCCUCUCGUCUUCCGGGGCCACGUUGCUCCAGUCAUUGCCGCGCACUAUUGGAGUUUGGCGCACGGCGGUGAAGGGCUGCGGAUUCUCCUCGACAAUCCAGCACCACUCCGCUCUCCACUCAUCCCACUUGCUGCGGAGCUCACCAUCCAAGUACGCCUCCUUCUUACCGACUCUCGAGAUCCAGGCGAUCCCUCUGGCAAGCAGCUCUCCUCUCUCUACCCGAGGUAUGAAGUAGUGGCGGAAAAGGGCAACACUGGGGUGGACUCCGACAAAGUUUUCGCACAAAUGUGCGAAAACUGCCAUGGUCAGAACGGCGUUGGGGGUGAAGUCAAGGAGGCGGAAGCCGUAUGUGUUCAUGAUAUCGCAAAAGAACUCCGAGAAGGGCGGGCAGAGCCCGCAAUAGAAGAACAGCGCGAAUAAUGGGUACCCGUUUGGAGCCAGCUCCGAAGCAGCGGCCGGGAGUACCCUCAUGCGCGGAUGCGCACGCGUCUCUGUCGCCCAAAAGAUGUAGAAGUACUCCCUCAGCUCCUGCACGCCGAGCUGAGGGGAGAAGAUCGCCCGCUCCUUCCGCAGCGCCGUGAGCCGCUGCACCUCGGCCGACUUCACGCCCUUUCCCUUGUCGGCUUUCGGGGCCAUGGCGGAGGUGGUGAGGGGGGUCGACAGCGUGGUGAUGCUGGUGGCAAUGGGGGGCGGAGCGCUGCUCUCUCGGCUUCGAGAAGAAGGGGGGAGCGGCAGAGGUUCUUGAAGAUGGAGUAGCAGCAACCAGCGAGGGCGAACGAACUGCCCCUAUUUCCUCUGCUUAUAAAGAGGGACGGGGCGGAAAUUUCGCCCUUCCGAAUAAACAACCACCCACGAUCUCUCCCACAAUGCCGCAUUCAACGCGUGCCGCUAUGGGAGAGCGCGGUGGAUACGGAGCGAGAUUCGGUGUGGCCCAGUCCGCGUGUGCCUGUGCCCUGUCUUGGGCCUGGCCCGACAGUGCUCGACACCGUGUCUGGCCCAGGCCUGGGGGCUCCUGUCGGUGUACUAGAAUAGGGGUACCCUAGUACCCCGAACUUGUGCACGGGCAGUUGCAGCACCCCGCGACAAGGCUUGCUGGGCGAACGCCAAGAUCCUCCAAGGUUCCCUUGGAGCCAUUCAAGAACAAAGUAUUUAAGCUCAGGAGACAAGGCCCCGGCAAGAGGAGCUUGCCGGGAAGGCCAACCGAGGCACUCCAAAGAACUUGCCGCGACGCGCCACGCGCUCCGGCAAGGCAACAAGGCCCCGGCAAGAGGAGCUUGCCGGGAAGACCAAACAAGGUACCUCGAGGCCCGGUGAGCGACAAGCUUCCGGACCCGACAAGAUAACAACAGCGGCAAGGCGCUUGCCGCGGCAGGCGGCCACUCUGUGCCCACGCUCCAGCGCAUCCACCAACGUGUUGCUCUGGGGGCCUCUCCAGGCACGCGUGGCGGGAGGCUGUGCAGCCAGCGGUGCGCAGUGGCAUGCGAAGCUGACAAGAUCGCCGUCGUGGCGAACGGUGGCGCCCCUAACGGUCCUUUUCUGCACUGUUUGGGCAACUCAGACGGGCCUUUAAUGCCCUUGUCCCCUGCCGUCAGGGUUAGGUAGGGUGCACUGUACAAGUAACUGUACCAACCACCCCACUUUUUACAUUUGUACCCUUCUCUGCGUUGCCACCUGUUGGUGACCCCUUUAGCGUAUAAAAGGAGGCCCAUGCGCAAUGUAGAGGGGGUUCAUUUCGGUUCGACUCAUUCAUAACCCAGAAAGACACUACGCUCUCGGGCUAGAGCAAGAACAGAAUAGAACCAGACAAGCAGCAGUAGGAGUGUUAUCUCUCCGGAGAGCUCCGAAGCUGGGUAAACUGCUCGUGUGCUUCGCCUCGAUCUGCUCUUCGUGCGAUCUCCGCCCCCCGCUGAACCGAAAGGGGCCCGGUCGGCCGGCCCCAUAGGUGUUCGAGGAUCAGUUUCCCCGACAACGUAUCAGGCAUCCCCAAGCUUAAUUCCUGCUCGUCCUCGAGUAGGUAAAUGAUAAAAAAGAUUUUUUGAUGCAGAGUGAUACUUUGGCAUAAUUUCAAUGUAAAUCUUCUUAAUUGUGAUAUGAAUAUUCAUAUCCGAAAGAUUCAAGACAAAAGUUCAUAUUGACACAAAAAUAAUAAUACUUCAAGCAUACUAAUCAAAGCAAUCAUGUCUUCUCAAAAUAACAUGGCAAAAGAAAGUUCAUCCCUACAAAAUCAUAUAGUUAGGCUAUGCUUCAUUUUCGUCACACAAAGAUGUUCCCAACUUCUAUACCCCUGAUGACAAGCCAAGCAAUUGUUUCAUACUUAAAUAAUCUCAAACUUUUUCAACCUUCACGCAAUACAUGAGCGUGAGCCAUGGAUAUAGCACUAUGGGUGGAAUAGAAUAUGAUUAUGGGGAUUGUGUGGAGAAGACAAAAAAGGAGAAAGUAUCACAUUGACGAGGCUAAUCAAUGGGCUAUGGAGAUGCCCAUCAAUUGAUGUCAACAUGAGGAGUAGGGAUUGCCAUGCAACAGAUGCACUAGAGCUAUGAAUGCUCAACAAAAGAAAACUAGUGGGUGUGCAUCCAACUUGCUUGCUCACGAAGACCUAGGGCAUUUGAGGAAGCCCAUCGUAGGAAUAUACAAGCCAAGUUCUAUAAUGAAAAAUUCCCACUAGUAUAAAAAAGAGACAACUUAUGAGACUCACUACAUGAGGAACAAGGUGCUACUUUGAAGCACAAUAUAUGAGACUCACUACAUGAAGAACAAGGUGCUACUUUGAAGCACAAGUGUGGAAAAAGAGAUAGUAGCAUUGCCUUUUUUUUGGGGCUUUCUCCUUUUUUUUAUUUGGGCAAUGCUCUAAUAAUGAUGAUCAUCACACUUCUAUUGAUUACAACACAAGGAUUACAACUCGAAACUUAGAACAAAACAUGACUCUAUAUGAAUGCCUCCGGCGGUGUACCGGGAUGGUGCAAUGAAUCAAGAGUGAUAUGUAUGGAAAAUAAUGCAUGGUGGCUUUGCCACAAAUACGAUGUCAACUACAAGAUCAUGCAAUAGCGAUAUGACAAAAGUAAUGUAUGUCAUGAUGAUGAUGGUGGAAGUUGCAUGGCAAUAUAUCUCGGAAUGGCUAUGGAAAUGCCAUAAUAGGUAGGUAUGGUGGCUGUUUUGAGGAAGAUAUAAGGAGGUUUAUGUGUGAUAGAGCGUAUCGUAUCACGGGGUUUGGAUGCACCGGUGAAGUUUGCACCAACUCUCAAGGUGAGAAAGGGCAAUGCACGGUAACGAAGAGGCUAGCAAUGGCGGAAAGGUAAGAGUGCGUAUAAUCCAUGGACUCAACAUUAGUCAAAAGAACUCAUAUACUUAUUGCAAAAAUUUAGAAGUCAUCAAAAAUUCAAGUACUACGCCAUGCUCAUAGGGGGAUAGAUUGGUAGGAAAAGACCAUCGCUCGUCCCCGACCGCCACUCAUAAGGAUGCACAAGCCAGGUACACUUCAUGUUUCAAAUUUGUUACACAACUUUAAGCAUACGUGCAUGCUACGGGACUUGCAAACUUCAACACAAGUAUUUCUCAAAUUCAUAAUCACCCAACUAGCACGACUUUGAUAUUAUCACCUCCAUAUCUCAAAACAAUUAUCAAGCAUCAAACUUAUCUUAAUAUUCAAUUCACUCAAAAGAAAGUUUUGCAUAUCUUGAACACCAAGUAUAUUAACAUUAAGCAAAUUACCAUGCUAUUAAAGACUCUCAAAAUAACCUAAGUGAAGCAUGAGAGAUCAAAUAGUUUCUUUAAAACAAAUCCACCACCGUGCUCUAAAAGAUCUAAGUGAAUUACUAGAGCAAAAAUUAUCACGCUCAAAAGAUAUAAGUGAAGCACUAUGAGCAAAACUAUCAAGCUCAAAAGAUAUAAGUGAAGCACAUAGAGUAUUCUAACAAAUUUCAAUUCAUGUAUGGCUCCCUCAAAAGAUGUGUACAGCAAGGAUGAUUGUGGUAGACUAACAAGCAAAGACACAAAUAAUACAAGACGGUCCAAGCAAAACACAUAUCAUGUUGGUGAAUAAAAAUAUAGCUCUAAGUAAAUUACCGAUGGAAGUGGAGGAAAGAGGGGAUGCCUUCCGGGGCAUCCCCAAGCUUUGACUUUUUGGUGUCCUUGGAUUAUCUUGGGGGUGCCAUGGGCAUCCCCAAGCUUAGGCUCUUGCCACUCCUUGUUCCAUAAUCCAUCAAAAGAAUUCACCCAAAACUUGAAAACUUCACAACACAAAACUCAACAGAAAUCUCGUGAGCUCCGUUAGAGAAAGAAAAACAAAAUACUACUUCAAGGUACUGUAAUUAACUCAUUCUUUAUUUAUAUUGGUGUUAAACCUACUAUAUUCCAACUUCUCUAUGGUUUAUAAACUAAUUUACUAGCCAUAGAUUCAUCAAAAUAAGCAAACAACACACGAAAUCAGAAUCUGUCAAAAACAGAACAGUCUGUAGCAAUCUGUAACUAACGCAAACUUACGGAACUCUAAAAAUUCGACCAAAAUAGGAAGUCCUGGAAAAUUUGUUUAUUGAUCAGCAUCAAAACCAAUCAACGCAAAAGCACGUUCCUAUGAUUUAUCAUAACUAAAUUCGUGCGUGCAAAGUUUCUGUUUUUUAGCAGAAUCAAAUCAACUAUCAUCGUAGGUUAUCCUAUAGGUCCUACUUGGCACAAACACUAAUUAAAACAUAAAAACACAUCCAAACAGAAGGUAGAUGGAUUAUUUAUUCCUAAACAGAAGCAAAAACAAAAAACACAAAAUAAAAC
rnacentral:lncRNA from 1 species